UCGGAUAUGCGUUGGACAAAAUUUUGCAAUGAUGGAAGCAAAAAUGGCUUUGGCAAUGAUCUUACAACGUUUCUCAUUUGAACUUUCCCCAUCCUAUGCUCAUGCACCUAUUAGUCUUCUAACUAUGCAACCCCAACAUGGUGCACACCUGAUUUUACAUGGACUUUAGUGUCAGAAUUCCUGGUAUCAGUAGAUGUUAAUUAGCACGAUCUUUAAACCUAGCUAGUGUCGAAUUUAAAUUGUCCACACUCCCUUUUCCUUGAAAUGUGUCCUCUGCAAAUCCAAUGUAUUAAUAAAAUUAUCUUUUUGUAUGUCACCGUGGGUUUGAUUAUUGAUAUCAAUUAAAUGCUUUGUUUAUUACAUAUAUGUUCCUUUGUUGAGCAUGUACGGUUGGUUUGUCGCGGAGAUUGUAUCAAGAAUUUUGGUUGUAUCAAAAUUAGCGACUGUAUUAGCUUCUAAUUGGAAAAAUAGAAAUCCUACUUACAACAACUGUAUUUGGUAUCAUGACCAACAACACCAUUAUUCUUGUCCACUAGAAUGCACCUAAAAAAGUUCAUCAGAAAGGAAAAAGUGUUACUAUAACACCCCAAAAUUAACUUUAGGGGCAAAACAAUAAAUUAUAAAUUAAUUAAUUAAUUAAUUAAUUAAACUCAUUAAAGGUAAAAAAGUCCAUUUAUAAUUAAUAAUCCUAGGUAUAAAUUAGAUUUUCCUAUUGUCUUCUCUAUUCAGAAAACCUUAUUAACCAAAAAUAAGAGAAUUGGAGAAUAUAGGGUUGAAGGAUUGAAGAUCUAAGGUUUGAAGUUUAGAUUUUUCGAGGUAAGAUUCUAACCCUAAAUUAAUAUAUUAGAUUUGUUAGUUUUGAACACAUUAGAUAUUCUUUAGAAAAUUUCAAUUUAAAUUAGGGUUAGUUUAUUUAAUUUUUUUUUCAGAUCAAAAUAUUGGAAACUUGAGAUUAUGGGUUGUUUUAUUGUUGGAAAAGGAGAAAUUCUGGAAAUUGGGAAAUUUUAAGUUUUUAGAUGAAAAAAAAAAAAAGAAAGAGGAUGUGUGUGCGUGGGGGAAGAAUGAAGUAUGAUGGGACAGAAAAGAAAAAAUAAAUAAAACAAAAACAAUAUUAAUAAUAAAGGAAGACAUGUACUGUGUGGGAGUGUGUUUGGUGGUUAGUAUAUUUAUAAUUAUAUUAACAAUGAUGGGGAGUCGUUAUGUAUACUGUUUGGUGGGAAAAAAAAAUUGAAAGUGAGAGAAUAAAAUAUAUAAAUAGAAUGAGGUGAAGUACAAAGUUAGUUAGGUUUAUAGCAUUAUAAUUAUAUUAGUGAUGAAUGUAAUUUAAUAAAUAAAAUAGAAUUUAAUUAUUGAAAUAAAUUAUAGUUUAAUUAAAUUGUGUCCCUAUGAACAAUUGAAAAUAAAAUUAAAGGUUUAUAUGAAUUAGAAAUUUAUUAAUUCCUCAAAAAUAUGAAUAGAUUACAUUAUCUUUCAUAAUUAAAAACAUUAAUUUGAAUACCUAAGAUUUUAUGAUUUGUCAAACCUAUAAUUUUAGAUAAAUAGUAAUUGUUAUUUCUCUUAUGCUUUGUUAGGUGAAGAGUAUAUUUUCUAGAAUUAUUUUUCUUCAAAGUUUUUAAGGACUUCUUUUAAGGUAAGGGAAAUUAAUACAAAUUUGCAAAAGAAAAUAAUUUUUUUUGUUAUAUAUAUUGUUUGAAAUGUGAAAUUAUUAUUUUUACUUUUGAGCAUGGAUCAAAUAUAUUGCAUGGAAAAUGUGUUAUAACAUUUAUUUCGUUUAUAACGAAACACAUGGAGAUAUUAUGCCUUUGUAAGUUAAAAUAAAUAAAAUAAAGAAUUUGACUCUAAUUUGUUUGGCCUUUGUCAAUGGGAUAUAAUAGUUAACCUUUACAUUUUCAUGGCGGGGAAUGUAAUUGAUUUAGACCCCAACCUCUAGGGGUUUGGUUAAAGGUUACUAGUAUCAGUAGUGUUUGGUUCUGUCCACCUUAAAAGGAAUAUUUGAGGUUAACCACCCAUUUGUAAGGUCCUGCUUAAUUGGACAUUAUUUGUUAUUUGAUAACCAGAGUAAAAACUAUUGAAAUGUAUUUGAUUUGAAAUAAAUAUGAAAUGAUUUUGAUAUAUAUGAAAAUGUUUGGUUGAAUAGUUUAAAUGUAUUAGCAUAUUUAACUCAAAAAUAUUAUAAAUAGAGUGCAUGUUAUAUCUCUUGUUUGUAAGUAUAAUUAAAAAUAUUUGAUCCAUAAAAUUGUGCUAAUGUUUCUUAUUGGGCUUUGAGCUCAUCUCUCUUUGUUGAUAAUUUUCUAGGUACCCUCAGUAAAGGCGAGGAGUGAUGGUUAGGAGAGGAAAUUGGUUUGUUAGGACUAUUGUUAACACUCUUUAUUUUGGACAUUAUUCAGAUGUUAAAAUUUAUUUCCCAUUUGAAUUAUUUGAGUUUGGAGUUAUUUGGGUAAUAACACUUGGGUUGAUGUGUCAGUUUUUAUAAAUUGAUAUCUAAAGAUUUUAGAAUUUAUUUAUUUUACUACUUUGGACAACAAUUUGGUAAUUGGUAAUUUCUAGUUACAAAAAGAAAGUUUGUGUCAUUUCCACUUUAAGCCUUCAAGCUUGAGGUGUGAAAUGACUAUCAUACCCUUGAAGUGGGUUUUAAGGCGUGAAAGAGUGGUAUCAGAGCACUAGGUUAUGAUCUUAUUGGAAACUUGUUUUAGCUUACUUUGGCGAUAGAUGAGUGACGCAUUAAUUUAAGUUUCAGCUUCAUCUUGUAUAAAUUCCUAUUCUUCUUUAUAAUUCUAAAUUGUCUUAUUGGUUUCUUAGUGACUAAUUUAGUUAUACCUUAUUCUCUAUAGACGAUCAUGCCACCUAGAAGAACAACAUCUUCCCAAUAUUGUCAGGCUAAUGAUGAUGUACCUCUUCCACUUGAGGGUUUGCCUCCCAUGAAUGCAAAAGGCCUUUAUAGGUAUCUCGAAACUUUAACUGGUUUUGUUGAGUGUCAAGCCAGAGUUGCUUAAACUAAUGGUCAAGGACGAUCCUCAUCUUCUAGGGAUAGCUAAUUUGAUGACUUUAAGAAGCUAGGUCCUUUUUAUUUUUUUAGCACUUCAGGUCCAACAAAAGCAGAGGCUUAGAUUCUUAAGAUGGAGAAAUUCUUUGAUGUCAUAGAUUGAUCUGAAGAGCAAAAGGUCUCUUAUGCAACAUUUAUGUUAGACAAAGAGGCAGAUCAUUGGUGGCGUAUGACCAAGAGGCUUUUAGAGGAUCAAGGACCUAUAGCAUAGAUACUAUUUAGCGAGGCUUUCUAUAAGAAGUACUUCCCUGAUAGUGUUAGACAUCAAAAUGUGGGAGUGAUUGUUUGUUUGGAACAAGGGGAAAUGACUAUGGCCUAAUAUGAGGCCAAAUUUACAGAGUUGUCAUGUUUUGCCCCAAAGUUGAUUGCUACGAAUGACGAAAAAGCAUUAAAGUUUGAGGAUGGAUUAAAGCCUUACCUAAAGAACAAGAUAUCCAUUCUAAAACUUGGCAUCUAUUUAGAGGUUGUGGAUAAAGCCCUUAUUGUAGAAAAUGAUAAUGAGGAGCUUCAUCAGUAUAGGGAAUAACAAAGGAAGAGGAAUAGGAGUUAUGGUGCUCAUGGUAACCAAGCACAGAAGUGGUAUGUUUUUGCUAGAAAUCAGAACAAAGGGAAGGCAACACAAAAUUCGGAUGUGAUAUGUCCUACUUGUGGUAAGAAGCAUGGGUGUAGGUCAUGCUAUAGAGAGACUGGAACUUGCUUUGGCUGUAGGAAGUAAGGACACAUGAUUCAGGAUUGUCAAGAGAAUAAAAGCUUUAUCAUUGGGAAGUCUAAGGAGGAGAAUAAAGAGGAUAAACAGAAGCUUAGAGCCUAAAGGUGGGUGUUUGCUCUGACUUAUCGAGAUGCUCAAGCCACUUCUGAUGUGGUGAUAGGUACUAUCUGAAUCCACUCUUUAUUCUCUAGUGCGCCUUAAUUGAUAUAGACUCAACACACUCUUUUGUGUUAGUAUCUUUUGCUAGUUUGUUGGGUAUGCCAGUUGCUAGUAUGGACUUUGCUUUGAUUGUUGCUACACCUAUGGGAGAUUUUUUUGUGACUAGUAAAAUGCUUAAAGAUUGUCUUGUGAUGAUUGGUCAUAGGGAAAUGCCCGUUGACUUAGUACUGCUUGACCUUUAGGAUUUUGAUGUAAUUUUGGGGAUGGAUUGGUUAGCUUCCUAUCAACUGAUUUUGACUUUGGUGACUAACACACUAUAAACAAUAUGAACUCCUACUUGAUAAUAUAAUUACCAUAAAAACAUUACUUUGUAAUAAAUCAAUAUUUAACUAUUAUUAUACACAUUAUAUAAUAGUUAAACAUAUAUGCAAGCAUCCAUAAGUAAUGAGUAGUUGAAUAACAUAAGUAAAUAUUACUCAAUAUGAAAUUCAUGAAACUUUCAAGUUCGACCACUUUGGUGACUAACAAACUUUGCAUUAUGUGAAUUUCAAAAUUUUGUAAUAAACAUCAUUUACAUCUUUAAAGGAUGUUCAUCAACUUUCUAGUAUGGUCACUUUGGUGACUAACACACUAUAAAUAAUAUGAACUCCUACUUGAUAAUAUAAUUAUCAUAAAAACAAUACUUUGUAAUAAAUCAAUAUUUAACUAUUAUCAUAAACAUUAUAUAAUAAUUAAACAUAUAAGUUUAUUGGAAAACCAUAAUAUCACAAUAAUCAUAAUCAAAAUUGUCAAACAUGAUGAGAGAACUUAAUUUUCAAACAUGAUGAGAAAGCUUAAUGAGACUUUGUAAAUAGAGCAAAUAUAAGAGGUUUUCUAUACACCAAUAAUAAUACAAAAUUAUAAACAUGCAAGGCAUGAUACUAUAACAAGAAUAUGAGAUUAUAUGAGAAAUUCUUACAUAAUUAGCUCCAUUUACAUUUAUAUGAAUUCUAUCUCAAAAUCUCAUAAGUAUCAAUUUGCAUUACAUCGACAAUAAUAUCCAUAAUGUAUAAUUCAUAUAAAUAAUAACCUAUAAUAGGACCUUCAGCCAAAUGGUCUUUAACCUCAUUCUUAUAUCACCUCAUACAUAAUAGGUAAUCAAUAAUAAUACUAUACAAUUUGAUAGACACAAAACUUUAAGGUUUGACCACUUUGGUGAUUGCAAACAAACAUAAUAUGAGUAUCAAACUACACAAAAUCUCAAUCAUGUUAAACCUUCAUAAUACUAUUAUGGAAGCAUAAAAGACAAUUUGCUAAAAAUAACUUAUGAUCCCAUGUUGUACAAUAUGCAACUUCUUCAUAAAAGGAUCAAGUUUAGCAUAAAGCCAUAAAGAAUUCAAUUUAUUCAAAUCAUGCAUUAAUAGCAGUAAAUAGUUAUGUGGCAACAAAUAAUAAUUGACAUAAAAUCGUAAUUCAUAUAAAAACUUGAAGCCACCAUAAUUGAUUUUGGGAAUAAAUCAAACACAAAAAUAUCGACAAAAUAUUUCUAUUGUAGCAAAAAAAAUACAAUCAGUAAAUGUAAUUCUCUCAUCAAAAUUUUAUAUCAUAAAACAAAAAUAAAACAACAUUUAAAGGAAAAUCAUAAGUUCUUGAACCAUGGCUUUGAUACCACAUAUUAGGUUUUCUUUAUUUAUGCAGAAUAAUAAUAACCAUAAUUCCUGUAGAACAAUCAUAACCCUAAUUCCAUAAUUAUGCAAAUCAAGCCCUAAUUUUGCACAAAUCAUAAUAGCCAAGCAUUUUUAGAACAAUAUGAUAUUCACAAUUCUAUUAUUGAGAGAAAAAACAAAAACAUACCUUUAAUCCAUAGGGAACUUUUGAAGAGACCAAACAAUAAGCAUAAUAGAAGCUGUGUUUCUCUUCAUUAACCCCUUUGCCCUUAGGUUUUCUCUUAUGCAUAUUAUUGAAGGAAUAUAACACUUAUUUAUAGGGUGGAGAGAGGACUAGUUUCCUUAUAGAAUUAGAAGUGCACUUUCCAUUAAAGUGCCUUUAAUUUAGGAAGCUAACUUCUCGAAAACUGACCAAUAGGAUUUUAGCUUUAUUAUUUAUUAAACCAUAAUACUUAAUUUGAUAUUUAAAUAAAUAUCACGGGCCACAUAAAAUUCUUCUAGGGUGUCCAUGACCAAAUUUGCUAAUUUAACCUGGAUCCCUUGCACAAUCCAUUAUGCUUUGUGAGAUCCCAUAGGGCCAUGUAAUCUAAAGCCUUACAAUCUACAUUGAUUAUGCAAAUCAAUAUUGAAACUUCAAAUUUUCAAUUAAAUAACGGAUCUUCAACUGUCCAAUUACAAAAAAUGCUUACUAAUGAAUAAACAUGAUGUUAGAACUUUACCUUGAACCAUUUUAGAAAAUCAAAAUUAAUUCAAAAGCUUUUUGCACUAGUUCAAAGUUGUGGAAACCCUAGCUCAUUCUUAACCUUAUGCUUUUUACUCCCUCUUAAUUCUUGUGUUAGUGUUGGAUUCUCACAAAACCUAAUACAUGAGUCAAGAAGAAUCAUAUGUCAUUCUUUUAAAGAAGACCUCAAUUAAUUUCUCAAAUAUUAAAUGAAUCCUUUGGGAUACACAAAUCUCAAUAUUUAUUAUUCAUAAUUAUGAGGAAAAAUUUAUUACAUUAUCAUAAAUGAAAUUCAAAUUUUAGAAAAGAAGAUACAUAAAUGAAGAGUGAUAUCUACCUAUAUUGCAUACAAACAAAUUAAUAACUUAAAAGAACUAUCUACAAUAAAAGGCAAUUUAAGAGUAAGUUUAAUCCUUACCACUUGAUUAAUUGUUACAUUCAGGUCAAUUAUAAGGUGCACCAUUUUAUUAUAAAACUGCCAAGCUUUUUUAAUUGGAACAAAUUAAUUUUCUUAACUAAAUGGUAAAAUGACUUUAGUCAUUGUUAAUGGUGUUUAAAAAAAAAAAGUAUCUCUUAGUCAUAUAAAAAACAAAUCAUUUGAAUAUGAGUAAAUUUUUUUUCCAUUACAUGAACAUGAGGAAAAUAAUAAUAAUUUGACUCAUACAUACCAAUGAUGAACACUCAAAUAUUACAUUUUUGAAGUAUUUAUGCUCAUUUUGGUGAUUUUGGUUUGUUAAUUGAGAAAAAAAAAUUAAAUUACCCAAUAAUAUUUUUAAAUCUUUGUUAGAAGGAAGAUUGGUCUUCCUAAACUAUUUUUAUUUUUUAAUCUCAAUCUUGAAAGAGUACCAUUUCCUUAAUAUUUAAAUAGCUAAUUUUUAACAACUAGGCUAAAAAUAGUCUUUGCAUGCUAUGAAAGCACUAACCGGUGAACUUUAAUUUUUAGAGAGAUGGAAGGUUGAGAAGGGUACUAGACCAGUUUAAAAGUCUUAAUACAAAAAAAUUGUAUGAUCAUGUCAUUGAGAUAGGCAAUAGUUUGGGAAGACUAACCUUCCUUUUUUUUUUUUUAUGUUGUUUUGAUAUUCUUAAUUUUCCUCAAUAUAACAACCCAAAAUCACUAAAUAAAGCAUAGAUAAGACUUCUAAAAUGCAAUUUUUGAGUUUUCAUCAUUGAUAUGUGUAAGUUUCACACAAGGAAAAAAUGAAAAUAAAAAAUCUACCCUUGGUCAAGUUAUUUUGUUUUCUUAUUAUAUGACUAUAAAAUAUUUCUUACUAUUUUUUAAAUACGAUUAAUGAUGACUAAAAUCUCUGUUACCAUUUAUUCAUUGAAAUUAAUUUGUUUUCAAUUAAAAAAAAACUUGGUGAUUUUAUGAUAAAAUGUUGCACCUCAUAGUUGACUUGAAUGUAACAAUCAAAUACAAAUAGUAAGUUUCACGUUUUUCUCUUAAAUUGUCAUUUCUUUUGAGUAGUUCCUUUGAGCUUAUUUAAUUUAUUUAAGAGGAAUGCAAUAUAUGUAAGUAGAUAGUAAUCCUCAUUUAUGUAUUUUUUUUCUAAAACUUGAAUUUUAUUUCUAAUAAUUUAAUAAAUUCGACCUAAUUGUAUAUAAUAAUGAUUAAGCUUUCACAUAUCCAAAGGAUUCAUUAAAUACUUGAGAAAUUAAUUGUGGUCAUCUUUAAAAGAAUUGUGGUUCCUCUCUUGACUCAUGUAUUAGGGUUUGUGAGAAUCCAACUAUAACAUUAGAGGUGAGAGAAAAAAAAAAGUAUAAGGUUAAAUAUCUUUUAAGGCUUCCAUACAUAACUUUGAACUACUGUGCAAAUCUUUUAAAUUAAUCUUAAUUUGCUAAAAAUGGCUCAAGGUAAAGUUCUAAUACUAUGUUUGUUCAUUGCAUAGCAUUGUUUAGAACUUAUAUAGCUAAAGAUCCAUUUUUUAAUUAGAAAGUUGAAGUUCUAAUCUUGAUUUGCACAACUAGUGUAGAUCGUAAGGCUCUAGAUUAUAUGGUUUUAUAAGAUUAUUAAUUGCAAAACAUAGUAGAUAGUGUGGGAUCGAGACCUACAUUAAAGGUAGCUUUAUUUGGUCAUGGAUGCCCAUUCUAGAAGGUAACUAGAGUAAAUAAGAAAAUUUACAGCCAAUCCAUUGCGUAAGCUAUUUUCAACCAAAUUCUUUGUUUAAGGCCUUAAAAAAAAAAUAAAAAUAUUAAGCCUUAAACAAUGGUGUUCGGCUAAAAAAAUUGUGCAUCUGACAUAAUUUUGGGUUUUAUUCCUAGCACUAAUUCCCUUUUGGAAUAUGUGUUUAUGACCAAUUUUGGUGUGUCUAACCCAAGCUUUGCACCAUUUAUUAUGCUUUUUGAUGAUCUUGCAUGACAUAUUAUCUAGGUUAUUGUAAGAUACAUCAUAUAGAUUGUAAAUAUAUAUAGAAUCAUUUAAGAAAUUCAAAUAUCAUUUGAAUGCCAUAUUUUUCUGACUCAAUCAAAGUUGAUGUAAAUUUGUAAUUUCUUUUAUCACAUUUUGUUAGAAUUUAAGGUUUGGUCUCUUUCAAUUACGUAGCUAACCUUUGUUUUUAAAUUUUCAAAAUUUUAUAGUGUAAUUUUUUUAGAUGUUUAGGUGAUUAGGUGGUACUUUUAGUGUUCAUUUCCUUUUAAAUUAUAGUGCAUAAAUAUUAGGGUUAAAUUUACUCACACCCCUAAGGUUUGGUAUAAAUACACCUAUUCACUAUAGGUUUCAAAUUUCUUCAAUUAGCACCCCUAUAAAUUUAUUUUAUUUAUUUUUUAGAGAGUUUUUAGGUAAAAAUAUUUUAGAUAGAUGUGUUUAACAAUUCUCUAAAAAAUAAAAUUUAUAAAUGAAAUAAAUUUAUAGGGGUAUUGAUUGACGAAAUUUGAAACCAAUGGUAUGGUUUAGUGUUUUUACACUAAAUUAAUUAACCUCAGAGGUUGUAAAUGAAAUUAACCUUAAAUAUUAUUUUGUUUGCUUUCUGUAUGAUAGAGUACAAACAUAUAUAUGAAAAUCAAACUAUGAUUAAAUGAUCUUUUAUUUGUUUGAUAAGCCCAUGUAUUUGAGUUGAGGCCUUUUAAAUAAAAUAUUAAUGUGUGAAUUUUGUUUUUAUGGUUUUACUUUUCAAUUAUCUAUAUUAUUUUAUUUAUGACUAAAAGAUUUGAAACGCUAAUAUUUUUAGGUUUCACCAUAGUGUUUUGGAAUCUAUUAUUUCACAGGGAAGGUAGCUCGAUUAAAGAAUGAAGAAAAAGGGAAAAACAUAAUUGGUUUAUAACAUUAAAUCAAAAUCAUCUUUAGGUCUUUAGCUUCUUGUUGAACAACCUAACAAUUCAUCUUUUAGAUUUUUAUCUAUUUCACUUUUCAAAUUAUUUUUUUCUUUUUUAAUAGAAAUCUUUCAAACAUCUACUUGAUUUUUUUUUCCUAGCUUUCCAUCCUUUUCAAUUUUAAAUUAAUAGCAAUAAUAUUUUACAUUAACAAAUGCAAGCACUAUGCUAAAAAACUUUGGUCUCAUGUGAUUUUGCUUUUAAAAAUUCUAUAGUUUCCAGUGUUGUAAGUAAGAAGGGUGUGAUUAUUUUAAAAAAAAAUGCUAUUAAUUUUUACUUGAAUUUCUACAAUUCUGUUUUAGAGAUAUGAAAAGCUUCAUUAUUCUUAUAUUCAAUAAAACCAUAACCUUUUGGGUGAUUUCAAGCAACUAGCAACUGUUAACCAAUGCAUAAUUGGAACCCAAAUUCUAAGACAAAUUGUACAUAUAUAUUCUCUAACAGUACAUGCACUUAUAAGUUUUGCUUUAUGAAAUUAAAGCGAGGUAAAUGGAUGAAUGGUAAAAAAAAAAAAUGUAUAUUAUUCAUGGUAUACAUUACAACCCUUCAAUAUAUACAUGACUUUCCAAAUGAUACAUGAAUUGCAUAUACAAGGUACACAUACAUCACUCCUAAACAUAACAAUUGAUCAUUAACUACUCUUGAAUUGUGGGAGAAAUUGAUUCUCCACUAAUAGAAAUAAUGCAUUAGAGAUACACAAAGAAAUUUUUUAUCAGUCAUAUUGGGAGGGAUUACUCUAUGGGAUCAACACAAUUCCAAUUUUUGUUGAUGGAGGCAUCAUGGUGGAUGCAACACUCUUCCUUGGUUCAAAGAUUGAACCUGCGCUCUUUGUUGCGAGAGGAACAAUGAUUAAAUUCAUCACGAAGUAUAGCUCUUUUAGGACUGAGCACCCAUUCCCUCCCCAAGUGUCGUUGUGGUAUUUUAUAAGAGUUGUCUUAUAGAGUUGAACCAUUUUGACCAUGGCCAGCACCUAAAUGCAUCUGCCACUGUCCUCUCGCAAAAUGACUCUUUAACUGGGCAGAGUCAAUUGUUUAUACAAAGCAUAGAAAUCAUGCAUUGAUCCUCAUCAUAAUGUCAUAAUUUUUCUUUGAAAAACUAAGCUAAACAUUUGAUCCAUGACUCAGACGAAAUUGGGCUGACCAUGAAUGAAAUUGAUGUCUGUUAUGCCAGUGAGAUCUUGCUUCUUGAUCUGCCUUGGCCAACAUUCUUGACCAAGAAAAGAACAAAAAGGACUCAACACAAGAAUCCAUAUAUAAAUCAACACAUACCCAUUUGUAUCAUUUUUGGAAAUUCACAUAAGACUUUACAUGUGGAGAACCAACCAAGAAAAAAAGGAAAAAAAAAAAGGAAAAUGAAGCAUCGUUUAACCAUGGAGAACGACAAUCAACAAGAUUCAUACAACAGGCAAUAUUUUCUAGCAGAUUCACUGAAGAUUUCUGGAUUUUGAUCAGAUCGAAAAUAUUAUCCAACAAAGCAAUGUACGGUAGAGAUGUUUCUAGUUUGACAAAAUUUUUCUAUGCCAUGUUAUUAUUUCAGAUCUAGAAGCAGGUUGCUAGUGUUUCAAAUGCUUAGAUUAGUAAAAUCAUGAAACAAACAUGUAUAAAGAACAAAACUCCUUUCAUAUAAAGAGGAAAAACUUGUGAUGGAGAGAGAGAAAGAGAGACGUGCCUUAUGAGCAAUCAACAACACACUCACAGGACAUCUUAAAGUUCUUCUUCAGUAAAUAAAUGUUCAUUCCCGCAUUUGUUGCUGCAUAAACCACUGUAACUAAGAGCAAUUAAAAACGAUAGCAAUAUAAAAUCUUCAUCAAACCCACCGACUUGGUGAGAAAAAAAGGAAGAAGAAGAAGCAGAAUUGGGAGUCCUCAGAAACAAAUUUUAACAUGAUUUAAAAAUUUCUAUUCAAAAAGAAAACCAAUUUUAAAAGUGAAAUAGAUAAAAAUCUAAAAGAUGAAUUAUAAGGCUCUUCAAAAAGGAUAUUUUAAAAGAAAGAACAAUUCAAAAAUUAAAGAAACUGAUAAAUGAAAGUUGCUUUUAACCUUGCUAAAUCAUUUAUUGGAUCGGCAUUAUCUUUUUUUUAUAUUCCGCUUCAUCAUUAGAGUCAGUUUCACCUUUAUCUUCACCUUCACCUUUGCCUCUAUAGAGAAGCAUCUCCGAUUGACUCAUGGCAAUAAGAGAUAUAAGGCCCAUUAUAUAUUAUCUCACAAGGUGUUAACAUAGUUAAAGGUUGAUGUUAUAUGGGAAAAAAUCUUUUUCCUAUCCAAUCCAAUCUAAUCAUAUCAUGUUUGGAUUAUUAUAUUAAAAAAAAAUCACUAUGAUUUUUUAUUUUCUAUAUUUGGAUUCUUAUAUUUAGAAAACCUUAAUUAUGAGAAAUCCAUAAAAGGGAAUUUUCGGCAACUUUUUUCUUAUUUACAAUGACAACUCAAACUUCUACAGAAAAUUAAUUAAGGCUACGUUUGGCUAUUGGAAACUACUAGGGAAAGAAAAAAAAUGAGAAGGAAAAAUUAAUUUCUCAUAUUUGGUUUUGCUAUAAAAAUGUAAUAGAAAGUCAAAUAUAAUUAAAAUAAUUAAGAAAUUUAUAUAUUUUCAAAUAAUUUAAUUUUUGUAUAGAAAAGUCAAAUAAGUGGAAAAAAAGUUUGAAGUAGUAUAUAAAAAUAAUUUAUUAACUUAAAUUUUUUUUUCUUUCGUUCUACUUUUCCUCUUUAUUUUUUUGUUCUUUUACUUUUUUUCUACAUUUUUUCCCUUGCAUUUUCUUUCAAACUUUCUAAGAACCAAACGUAGCCUAAAAUAACCUUAUUCAAUUGUUUUCUAUGACUAUGUUUGGUUUUGAAAAAAUUUGAAGCAAAACUUAUGAAAAGAAAAUAGAGAGAAAAAUUAAAAGAAAAGAAAAAAAUGAAGGAAAAUGAAAAUAAAUAUCAUUUUACUUGUGUCAACUUUUCUAUUUAAAGGUUAAAUUUUUUAAAAAUAUAAAAUUUUCAACUAAUUUUAAUUAUAUUUGAUUUUUUUACUAUUUACUAUAUUAAAACCAAAUAUGAGAAAAUCAUUUUCCUUUAACAAUUUUUUCUUUUUUUAGUGCAUUCUAGGAACCAAACGUAGCCCAAAAAAGUUAGCAAUAACAAUGACGUAAGUAACGCUCUUCUAAGGCCAAGGUAAUAUUGAACACCAAGAUCCCAAUUUCAAUGAAUUAAACAACAAGAAAAAAAAAAAACAAAAAGGGUUUCUCUGAAUUGACAUGGCUAAUAUAUAACAGAAAUAACUUGUAUAAAAGAACUUAAGAUGGAAUUGGAUCGACAACUAUGGGCCAAAUUGAUGUUUGUAAGGUUUAUGAGAUCUUGUGUGGGUUGAUUUUGUCCUAGCCAAGAAGUCUCCUUCCAUGUUUCUAAUUGUUCUUUACCUACAGUGGGUGUACCAAAUAAUAUUUAACAAUAAAUACUUACAUUGUUAAGAUGAAUUUCUAUUCAAAAAGAAAAUCAAUUUUAAAAGUGAAAUGGGUAAAAAUUUAAAAGAUAAAUUUUAAGGUUUUUCACAAGAAGCUAAAUACUUAAAAACAUGAUUUUGAAUGUUAUCAAUCAAUUAUGUUUCUUUCUUUCUUCUUGCCUUUUUUUUUUUGGAAGUUAACUAUCUUUUAGCAGAACUAUCUUCCCCAUCCAAUAUAUUCCAGAACACUAGGUAAAACCCAAAAAUAAUAUUGUUUCAAAAAUAAAAUAAUAUGUAUUUUAAUAAAAGAAUCAUAAAAAAUAAAUAAAUUAUGCCAUAAUCUUAUAAUCAAAAGGACUCAACUUAAAUAUAUGGGUCUAUAAAAAACAUAAAUGACCAUUUAAUCAUAUUUUUAUUUUCAUAUGUUCGUAUUCGAUUCCAAAGAAAGCGUACACAUUAGUAUUUAUGCUUCAGACUUUAAAAGGACAUAAAAAAGUAUUGUAACAUCUAAAAACUUAGACUAUAAAAUUUUUAAAUUUUAGAAAUUUAGAAACAAAGGUUAGAGUACUACAAAGGACCAAAUCUUUAAUUCUAACCAAAUAUAAGGGAAAAAAUUCACAAAUUUACAUCAAUUUUGAACCAAAAAAAAUAAUGCAUUCAAAUGACAUUUGAAUUUCUUAAAUAAGUCUAUAUUUAAAAUUUAUAUGAUGUAAAUAUAGCACCGUAGACUAGAUCAUCAUAAGGCACAACAAAUAGUGCAAAGUCUACGUUAAAUGUACAAAAAUUGGACAUAGACAACUAUUCCAAAAGGGAAUUAGUGCCAUGAACAAAACUCAUAACCAUCAUUAACAGGUAAUUGUUUUUUCCCCGACUCCCUUGUUUAGGGCCUUUAAAUUUUGUGAUUUCGAGGACCUAAACAAGGAAUUUAGUCAAAAUGAAAAAUAGCUUGUGCCAUAGGAUGGUUGUGAAUUUUGGUUUUUGAUGUGAUUCCUUCCUAAAAUGGGUGUCCACGACCAAAUUUGCUAAUUUAAUGUAGAUCCCUUACACUAUCCACUAUGCUUUGUGAUAUCCCAUAGGGCCAUGUAAUCUAAAGCCUUACAAUCUACAUUGAUUAUGCAAAUCAAGAUUGAAACUUCAACUUUCCAAUUAAAAAAAACGAAUCUUCAACUAUCUAAAUUACAAACAAUGCUUACUAAUGAAUAAACAUGAUGUUAGAACUUUACCUUGAGACAUUUUAGAAAAUCACAAUUAAUUUGAAAGCUUCUUGCACUAGUUCAAAGUUGUGGAAGCCUUAUCUGAUUCUUAACCUCAUGCUUUUUACCCCCUCUUAAUUCUUGUGUUAGUAUUGGAUUCUCACAAAACCUAAUACAUGAGUCAAGAAGAACCGUACAUCAUUCUUUUAAAGAAGACCUCAAUUAAUUUCUCAAAUAUAUAUUAAAUGAAUCCUUUAGGAUACACAAAUCUCUAUCUUUGUUAUUCAUAAUCAUUUGAAUGGAAUAUUUUUCUAACUCAAUCAAAGUUGAUGUAAAUUUAUGGCUUCUUUCAUCACAUAUUAGUUUAGAAUUUAAGGUUUGGUCUUUUUUAAUUAUGAAGCCAACCUUUGUUUUAAAUUUUUCAAUAUUUUAUAGUGUAAUUUGUUAGAUGUUUAGGUGAUCAAGUAGUACUUUUAGCAUUCUUCUCCUUUUAAAUUCUAGCGCAUAAAUAUUAGGGUUAAUUUCACUCACACCCUUAAGGUUUGGUGUAAAUACACUUAACCACCAUAGGUUUCAAAUUUCAUCAAUUAGCACCCCUAUAAAUUUAUUUAAUUUAUUUUUUAGAGGGAUUUUAGGUAAAAAAAAUUUAGAUAGGCAUGUUUAACAAUUCUCUAAAAACUAAAUUUAAUAAAUGAAAUACAUUUAUAAGAAUGUUAAUUAACAAAAAAAGUAAAUUUUAUAAAUGAAACAAAUUUAUAGGAGUGUUAAUUGAUGAAAUUUGAAACCAAUGGUGUGGUUUAAUGUUUUUACACUAAUUCAACCUCAAGGAUUGUGAACGGACUUAACCUUAAAUAUUAUUGUGUUUGCUUUCUUCACCAUAGAGUACAAACGUUUAUGAAAAUCAAAAUAUGAUUUAAAUAAUCUUUCAUAUGUUUCAUAAGCCCAUGUAUGUGAGUUGAGGCCUUUGAAUUAAAAUAUUAAGGUCUGAAUUUUGUUUCUAUGGUUUUAUUUUUCAAAAAUAUCUAUUAUUUUAUUUAGGAAUAAAAGAUUUGAAACACUAAUAUUUUUAGAUUUUACCUUAGUGUUUUGGAAUUUAUUUGAUGGGGAAGUUAGUUGUGCAAAAAAUGAAGAAAAAGGGAAAAACAUAAUUGAUUUAUAACAUUAAUUCAAAAUCAUAUUUAGGUCUUUAGCUUCUUGUUGAAUAGCCUUACAAUUCAUCUUCUAGAUUUUCAUCUAUUUCACUUCUAAAAUUAUUUUUUCUUUUUUAAUAUAAAUCUUUCAAUCAUGUACUUAUAUGUUUUUUUUUUAAUUUUUUUUAUGUGGCUCUCCAUCCUUUCCAAAUUUUAAAUUUAUAGCAAUAAUAUUUUAUAUUAACAAAUACAAGCACUAUGCUAAAAAACUUUGGUCUCAUGUGAUUUUGUUUUUAAGAAUUCUCUUACUUCCAUUGUUGUAAAUUAAAAGGGUGUGAUUUUUUUUAAAAAAAAUGUUAUUAAUCUUUACUUGAAUUUCUACAAUUCUCUUUUAGAGAUAUGAAAAGCUUCAUUAUUCUUAUAUUCAACAAGACCAUGACCUUUUGGGUGAUUUCAGGCAACUAGCAAUUGUUACCCAUGCAUAAUUAGAAUCCAAAUUCUGAGACAAAUUGUACAUCACAUUCUACUCUAUUCCCUUUCCACAUAUAUAUAUACAUAUUCUAAUAGUACAUGCACUUAUAAGUUUUUCUUUAUGAAAUUAAAGAUGGUCAAAAGAAUAUUUAUUAUUCAUGGUAUACAUUACAACCCUUAAAUAUAUACAUGACUUUCCAAAGGAUACAUGAACUAUACAAGGUAUACAUACAUCACUCCUAAACAUAACAGUUGAUCAUUUACUACUCUUGAAUUGUAGUAGAAAUUGAUUCUCUCCUAAUAGAAAUAACGCAUGAGAGAUACAUAAAGAAAUUUUUUAUCAGAGAGGGAUUACUCUAUGGAUCAACACAACUCCAAUGUUCGUUGAUGGAGGCAUCAUGAUAGAUCAUAAAUUGAUCAAGGUGGAUAGCUCUUUUAGGAGGUGAGUGCCCAUUCCCUCCUUCCCAAGUUUCCUUGUAGUUCCCUAGCAAAAUGACUCUCCAAUUGGACAAAGGUUAAAAAAGAACCAUUUGUCAGUUGUGUACAAAUUAAGCACAGAAAACCAUGCAUUGAUCGUUGUCAUAAUGCCAUAAUUUUUCUUUGAAAAACUAAGCCAAACAUUUCAUCCAUGACUAAGAUGAAAUUGGACUGAUCAUGAGUCAAAUUGAUGUCUGUUAUGCCUAUGAGAUCUUGCUUCCUUAUUUGCCUUGGCCAAUAUUCCUAGCCAAGAAAAAGAUUAAAAGGACUCAACACUAGAAUUCAUAUAUAAAUCAACGCAUACCCAUCUGUAUCAUUUUUGGAAAUUCACAUAAGAUUUUAUGUCACGUCCCAAAACCCACUUCAAGGGCAUGAUGGUUAUUUCACACCUCAAGCCCAAAUGGUCAAAGUGGAAACGACACAAACAUUCGUAUUGCAACUAGAAAAUUACCAAUUAUCAAAUUCCUAUUUAGAGUAGUAUAACAAAAAUUCUAAAAUUUCCAUAUAACAAUUUUUGAAACUAACACAUUAAACUAAGUGUUGUUGUCCAAAUAACUCCAAACUCAAAUAAUUGUAAUAGAAAAUAAAUUUUAACAUCUAAAUAAUGCUAAAAAUAAAAAGAGUUUUGACAAAAGUCAUAAGAAGCCAAUUUCCCCUCCUAACUGUCACUCCUUACCCGAACUAAGGGUACCUGAAAAGUUAUCAACAAAUGGGGGAUGAGCUCAAAGCCCAAUAAAGAAUAUUAACACAGUUUCAUGGAUCAAAUAUUUUAAUUGUACUUACAAAUAGGAGAUAUAACAUAUACUCUAUUUAUAAAACUUUUGAAUUAAACAUGCUAAUGCAUUUAAAUAGUUCAACAAACAUUUUCAUAUAUAUAAAAAUCAUUUCAUAUCCAUUUAAAAUCAAAUACAUUUCAAUUGUUUUCACUUUGGUUAUCAAAUAUCAAAUAGUGCUCAUUUAAGUGGGACUUUACAAAUAGGUGGCUAGCUUCAAAUGUUUCUUUUAAGGUAGACUAAACCAAACACUACUAGUACUAGUAACUUCUAACCAAACCCCUAGAGGUUGGGGUUCAAAUCAAUUACAUUUCCCACCACAAAAAUGUAAAGGUCAACUAUUAUAUCCCGUUGGCAAGGACCAAAAAGUCAACUAUUAUAUCCUAUUGACAAGGGUCAAACAAACCAUAGUCAAAUUCUUUAUUUUAUUUAUUCUAACUUACAAAAGCAUAAAGUCCCAAGUAUUUUGAUAUAAACAAAAUAAAUGUGAUAACACAUUUUUCCAUACAAAAAUAUAUUUGAUCCAUGCUUAAAAGCAAGAUGAACAAUUACACAUUUCAAACAAAAUAUAUAUAAAUUUUUUUUUUACAAAAUCCAUAUCAAUUUCCCUUACCUCAAAAGAAGUUCUCAAAAGCUUUGGAGAAAAAUAAUUAUGGAAAAUCUACUUUUCACCUAACAAAGUAUAAGAGAAAUAACCAUUACUAUUUAUCUAAAAUUAUGGGUUUGACAAUCCUAAAAUUUUAGGUAUUCAAAUUAAUGUUUUUAAUAAUGAAAGAUAAUUUAAUAUAUUCCUAUUUUAUAAAAAUUAAUAAAUAAAAAUUCAUAUAAAACUUAAAUUUUAUUUUUAAUUUAUUUCUUGGGACACAAUAUAAUUUAAUUAAACUAUAAUUGAUUUCACUAAUUAAAUUUUAUGCUACUUAUUAACUUAAUAUUUGUCAUUAAUCUAAUUAUAAUACUAUAAAUUUAACUAAUUUUUACUUCACCUCAUUUAUUUAUACAUAGUUUAUUCUACCACUUUCAUAUUUUUCAAAUACAACUACCAUAACACUCACACAACUACCAAUAUAAUAUAUAUAUAUAUACCAUCCACCCACUCAUACAUUCCAUGUGCAUGCCUCUUUAUUAUUAUUAAUAUUAUUAUUCUCAUCAUUCUUCAUUCUUCCACACGCACGCUUUUUUUUAUUUAUUUAUGGUCAUUGUGCACACUAUCUCAAAACCUGUUUAUUAUUAUUAUACACUUUUAGAAAUCACCCAAUACAUUGAAAUCUUAUCAUUUUUUCUUUCUAAUAUUUUCCAAUCCCUUAAGCCACAUAUAAUCAUAUAUUUAUUUACUCAUUUAAUUUUUGAAAUGUCAUUGCUUAGAUCUAUUCAUCUAAGAAAAUUUGAAUUUCCCUAUUUUCAUCAAUGGAACAACCUAUAUUCAUAAUUUCAAUAUUUUGACCUAAAAUUUUAAAAUAGAUUAACCCUAGCCUAAAUCGAAAUCUUCCAAAGAUUUUUUUUUUGUUUUCAUCUAAAAACUUAAGAUUUCCCAAUUUCCAACAAUGAAUCAACCCAUAAUCUUAAAUUUCCAAUAUUUUGAUAUUAAAUGAAUUAACAAAAAAAAACUAACCCUAAUCUAAAUUAAAAAAUUUUCAAAGAAUAUUUAGCGUGUUCAAAACUAACUAAUGAAUAUAAUAUAUUAAUUCAGGGUUAGAAUCUUACUUGGAAAAAAUCUGAACUUCAAACUCUGAACCUCUAACCCUUGAGCCUUACGAUUUCCAAUUCUCUAAUUUUGGUUGAUAGGGUUUUCUGAAUAAAGAAGGCAAAAGGAAAACAUAAUUUAUACAUAAGAUUAUUAAUUGUAAAAGGACUCUUUCAUGCUUAAUGAGUUUAAUUAAUUAUAAUUUACUAUUUUGACCUUGGAGUAAAUUUUGGGGUGUUACAUUUUACAUGUAGAGAACCAACCAAGAAAAAAGAUAGAAAGAGAGAGAGAGAGAAAAGGAAGAUUACUGGAUUUUGAUUGAAUGGAAAAUAUUAUCCAACAAAGCAGUGCACUAUAGAGAUGUUUCUAGUUUGACAAAAGUUUUCUAUACCAUGUUAUUAUUUUAGAUCUAGAAGCAGGUUGCUAGUGUUUCAAAUGCUUAGAUUAGUACAAUCAUGAAACAAUCAUGUAAAAAGAUCAAAACUCAUUUCAUGUAAAGAGGAAAAUUUUGUUAUGGAGAGAAAGAGAGACGUGCCUUAUGGGCAAUCAACAACACACUCACAGGACAUCUUAAAGUUCUUUAGUAAAUAAAUGUCCAUUCCCUCAUUUGUUGUUGCAUAAACCAUUGUAACUAAGAGCAAUUAAAAAUUAUAGCAAUAUAAAAUCUUCAUCAAACCCACCAACUUGGUGAGAAAAAAAAAAGAAGCAGAAUCGGGAGUCCUUAGAAACAAACUUUAACAUGAUUUAAAGAUUUUUAUUAAAAAAGAAAAGCAAUUUUAAAAGUGAAAUAGAUAAAAAUCUAAAAGAUGAAUUAUUAGGCUCUUCAAAAAGGAUAUUUUAAAUGAAAUAACAAUUCAAGAAUAUUUAAAGAAACAAAUAAAUGAAAGUUGUUUUUAACCUUGCUAAAUCAUUUAUUUGAUCGACAUUAUCUUCAAAUUUUUCCAUACUCUGCUUCAUCAUCAGUCACUUUCACCUUUAUCUUCACCUUCACCUUCGCCCCUAUAGAGAAGCAUCUCCGAGUGACUCAUGGAAAAAAGAGAUAUAAGGCCCAUUAUAUAUCAUCUCACAAGGUCUUAACAUAGUUAAAGGUUAAUGUUAUAUGGGAAAAAAUCUUGUUCCUAUCAAGCUAAUCUAAUUAUAUCAUGUUUGGAUUAUUAUACUAAAAAACUUUCACUAUAACUUGUCAUUUUCUAUAUUUGGAUUCUUAUAUUUAGAAAACCUUAAUUAUGAGAAAUCCAUAAAAUGGAGUUUUUGGCAACUUUUUUCUUAUUCAUAAUGACAACUCAAACUUCUACAAAAAAUAAAUUAAGGCUAUGUUUGGUUCCUGGAAAGCACUAGGGAAAUAAAAAAAAAUGAGAAGGAAAAUUAUUUUCCCAUGUUUGGUUUUGUUAUAAAAAUUCAAUAGAAAGUUAAAUAUAAUUAAAAUACUUAAUAAAUUUAUAUAUUUUCAAAUAAUUUAAUUUUUAUAUAGAAAAGUCAAAUAAGUGAAAAAAGUUUGCAGUAUAUAAAAAUAAUUUAUUAACUUUAAAUCUUUUUUUUCUUUUCUUCUACUUUUCCUCUCCUCUUUCUUUUUUUGUCCUUUUACUUUUUCUUUUUUUUUUUCCCUUGCAUUUUCUUUCAAACUUUCCGAGAACCGAACGUAGCCUAAAAUGACCUUAUUCAAUUGUUUCCCAUGGCUAUGUUUGGUUUUGAAGAAAAAUUGAAGGAAAACUUGAUGAAAAUAAAAUAGAGAGAAAAAUUAAAAGGAAAGAAAAAAUGGAGGAAAAUAAAAAUUAAUCUCAUUUUACUUGUGUCAACUUUUCUAUAUAAAGGUUAAAUAAUUUAAAAAUAUAAACAUUUUUCAACUAAUUUUAAUUAUAUUUUAUUUUUUUACUAUUUACUAUAUUAAAACCAAAGACGAGAAAAUCAUUUUCCUUUAACAAUUUUUUCUUUUUUUAGUGCUUUCUAGGAACCAAACAUAGCCCAAGAAAGUUAGCAAUAACAAUGACAUAAGUAAUGCUCUUCUAAGGCCAAGGUAAUAUUGAACACCAAGAUCCCAAUUUCAAUGAAUUAAACAACAAGGAAAAAAAAAACAAAAAGGGUUUCUCUAAAUUGACAUGGCUAAUAUAUAACAAAAACAACUUGUGUAAAAGAAAUUAAGAUGGAAUUAGAUCGACAACUAUGGGCCAAAUUGAUAUUUGUAAGCUUUAUGAGAUCCUGUGUGGGUUGAUUGUGUCUUGGCCAAGGAACCUCCUUCCAUGGUUUCUAACUGUUCUUUACCUUCAAUGGGCAUACCAAAUUAAGAUAUUACUUAUGCACUAUGAAACAUAUUUUAACACUAAAUACUUAGAUUGCUAAGAUGAAUUUCUAUUCAAAAAGAAAAUUAAUUUUAAAAGUGAAAUGGGUAAAAAAUCUAAAAGAUGAAUUUUAAGGUUGUUCCCAAGAAGUUGAAGACUUUAAAACACGAUUUUGAAUGUUAUCAAUCAAUUAUGUUUCUUUAAUUCUUCUUGUUUUUUUCAAGUUAAUCAUCAUUUAGUGGAACUAUCUUCUUCAUCCAAUCGAUUCCAAAACAUUCGGUAAAACCUAAAAAUAUUAUUGUUUCAAAUAUUUUAUUUAUAAAUAAAAUAAUAAAUAUUUUAAAAGUAAAAUCAUAAAAAAAAAAGUAAAUAAAUAUUGUGCCAUAAUCUUAUAAUCAAAAGGCCUCAACUAAAACAUAUGGGUCUAUCAAAAGAAUAAAUGACCAUUUAAUCAUAUUUUGUUUUUCAUAUGUUCAUAUUCUAUAGCAAAGAAAACAAACACAUCAAUAUUUUUGUUUCAAACUUGAAAAGGACAUAAAAAAGUGUUGUAAUGUCUAAAAAUUAGAAUACAAAAGUUUCAAAAUUUAGAAAUUUAGAAACAAAGGUGAGAGUACUAUAAAGGACCAAGUAUUUAAUUCUAACCAAAUGUAAGGAAAAAACUCACAAAUUUACAUCAAAUUUGAACCAGAAAAAUAAUGCAUUCAAAUGAUAUUUGAAUUUCAUAAAUUGGACAUAGACAACUAUUCCAAAAGAGAAUUAGUGCAAAGAACAAAACUCAUAAUCAUCAUCAAGGGGCACAUUGUUUUUUCCCUGACUCCCUUGUUUAGGGCCUUCAAAAUUUGUGAUUUUGAGGCCUUAAACAAGGAAUUUAGUCAAAAUUAAAAAUAAGUUGUGUCAUAGGAUGGUUGUGAAUUUUGGUUUUUUAUGUGAUUCCUUCCUACAAUGGGUGUCCAUGACCAAAUUUGCUAAUUUAACCUAGUAUCCACUAUGCUUUGUGAUAUCCCACAGGGCCAUGUAAUCUAAAGCCUAACAAUCUACAUUGAUUAUGCAAAUCAAGAUUAAAACUUCAACUUUCCAAUUAAAAAAGUGAAUCUUCAACUAUCUAAAUUACAAAUAAUGCUUACUAAUAAAUAAGCAUGAUGUUAGAACUUUACCUUCAGCCAUUUUAGAAAAUCACAAUUAAUUCAAAAGCUUUUGGCACUAGUUCAAAGUUGUGGAAGCCCUAGAUGGUUCUUAACCUUAUGCUCUUUUCUCUCUCUUAAUUCUUGUGUUAGUGUUGGAUUCUCACAAAACCUAAUACAUUAGUCGAGAAGAACAGUAUGUCAUUUUUUUAAAGAUGACCUUAAUUAAUUUCUCAAAUAUAUGUUAAAUGAAUCAUUUGGGAUAAGCAAAUCUCAAUCUUUAUUAUUAUUCAUAAUUACAAGGGGGAAUUCAUCACAUUAUCAGAAUUGAAAUUUAAAUUUUAUAAAAGAAAAUACAUAAAUGAAGAGUAAUAUCUACCUACAUUGCAUACGAACCGCCAAGUUGUAAGGCACGUGUACCAUUUUAUUAUAAAGCCACUAAACUUUUUUAAUUGAAACAAAUUAAUUAUCUUGAGUAAAUGGUAAAAAGACAUUAGUCAUCGUUAAUGGAGUUUAAAAAAUAGGAAAAAAAUACCUCAUAGUCAUAUAAAAAAUAAAUAAUUUGAAUAGGAUUAAUUUUUUUUUUUCCCUUUCUUGCACAUGACGCAAAUAAUAAUAAUUUGACUCACAUAUACCAAUGAUGAACACUCAAAUAUGAAUUUUUGAAGUCUUUAUGCUCAUUUUGGUGAUUUUGGUUUGUCAAUUGAGAAAAUUCAAAAUUCAAAAGAAAAAAAGAUUACCCGAUCAAUAUUUAAAACAAAAAUUUUAAAUCUUUGUUAAAAGGAAGAUUGGUCUUUCCAAACUAUUUUUUAUAUCAAUGUUGAAAGACCACCAUACCCUUAAUAUUUAAAUAGCUAAUUUUUUAUAACUAGACUAAGAAUAGUCUUUGCAUGCUAAGAAGACACUAACUAGUGAACUUUAAUUUGUAGAGAGAGAAGGGUACUAGAUCAGUUGAAAAGUCUUAAUGCAAAAAAUUUGUAUCAUGUCAUUGAGAUUGGCAAUAGUUGGGGGAAGACUAAUCUUCCUUUUUUUUUUUUUUAAUAUUGUUUUGAUAUUCUUUUAUUCCCUCAAUAUAACAACCCAAAAUCACUAAAUAGAUAAUAGAUAAGACUUUUAAAAUGUAAUUUUUGAGUUUUCAUCAUUGGCAUGUGUAAGUUAUGUGCACACAAGGAAAAAAAAUAAAAAAUCUACCCUUGGUUAAAUUAUUUUGUUUUCUUUUUAUAUGACUAAAAAUACUUCUUGCUAUUUUUUAAAUGCCAUUAAUGAUGACUAAAAUCUCUUUUACCAUUUAUUCGUGAAAAUUAAUUGUUUUUUAAUUUUUUUAAAAAAAAACCUUGUGAUUUUAUGAUAAAAUGUUAUACCACAUAGUUGAAUUGAAUUUAACAAUCAAAUACAAAGAGUAAGGUUUAGGUUUUUCUCUUAAAUUGUCAUUUGUUUUAAGUAGUUCAUUUUAGGUUAUUUAAUUUGUUUAUGUAAGAGGAAUGCAAUAUAUGUAAGUAGAUAGUACUCCUCAUUUAUGUAUAUUCUUUUCUAAAACUUGAAUUUCAUUUCUAAUAAUUUGACAAAUUUGACCUAAUUCUAUAUAAUAAAGAUUGAGCUUUUGCAUAUCCCAAAGGAUUCAUUAAAUACUUGAGAAAUUAAUUGUGGUCAUCUUUAAAAGAAUUGUGAUUCCUCUCUUGACUCAAGUAUUAGGGUUUGUGAGAAUCCAACACUAACAUAAGAGAUGAGACAAAGUAAAAAAAGCAUAAGGUUAAAUACCUUCUAGGGCUUCCUUAUAUAACUUUGAACUACUGCACGAAGCUUUCAAAUUAAUCUUGAUUUGCCAAAAAUGGCUCAAGGUAAAGUUUUAAUAUUAUGUUUGUCCAUUGCUAAGCAUUGUUUGGAACUUAUAUAGUUGAAAGUCCAUUUUUUAAUUAGAAAGUUGAAGUUUUAAUCUUGAUUUGUACAAUCAGUGUAGAUUGUAUGGCUCUAGAUGAUAUUCUUUUACAAGAUUAUUAAUUGCAAAACAUAGUAGAUGGUGUGGACCUAUGUUAAAGGUAGCAAAUUUGGUCAUGGAUGCCCAUUCUAGAAGGAACUAGAGUAAAGAAGAAAAAAUACAACCAACCCAUUGCAAUGCUGUUUUUCAACCAAAUUCUUUUUUUAACGCCUCAAAAUAAAAAAUAAAAAUAAAAUUAGGCCCUAAACAAUGUAGUUUAGCUAAACAUUGUGCAUCUUACAUAAUUUUUGGUUUUACUCCUAACACUAAUUCCUUUUUGGAAUAUGUGUUUAUGAUCAAUUUUGGUAUGUCUAACCCAAGCUUUGCACCAUUUAUUGUGCCUUUUGAUGAUCUUGCAUGCCAUAUUGUCUAGGUUCUUGCAAUAUACAUCAUAUAGAUUGUAUAUAUAGAAUCAUUUAAGAAAUUCAAAUAUCAUUUGAAUGCAAUAUUUUUCUAACUCAAUCAAAGUUGAUGUAAAUUUAUGAUUUCUUUCAUCACAUAUUUGAUUAGAGUUUAAGGUUUGGUCUCUUUUAAUUAUGAAGUAAACCUUUGUUUUUAAAUUUUCAAAAUUUUAUAGUGUAAUUUUUUUAGAUGUUUAGGUGAUCAAGUAGUACUUUUAGUGUUCUUUUCCUUUUAAAUUCUAGUGCAUAAAUAUUAGGGUUAAUUUCACUCACACCCCUAAGGUUUAGUGUAAAUGCACCUAAGCACCAUAGAUUUCAAAUUUCGUCAAUUAGCACCCCUUUAAAUUUAUUUUAUUUAUUUCAUUUAUUUUUUAGAGGAAUUUUAAGUAAAAAAAAAAAGAUUUUAGAUAGGUGUGUUUAACAAUUCUCUAAAAAAUAAAGUUUAUAUAUGAAAUACAUUUAUAAGACUGCUAAUUGAUAAAAAAAAAUAAAUUUUAUAAAUGAAACAAAUUUAUAAGGACGUAAUUAAUGAAAUUUGAACCAAUGGUGUGGUUUAGUGUUUUUACACUAAAUUAACCUCCAGAAUUGUGAAUGAACUUAACCUUAAAUAUUAUUUAGUUUGCUUUAUUCACCAUAGAGUACAAACAUUUCUGAAAAUCAAAAUAUGAUUAAAUAAUUUUUUAUUUGUUUCAUAAGCCCAUGUAUUUGAGUUGAGGCCUUUAAAGUAAAAUAUUAAGGUCUAAAUUUGGUUUCUAUUGUUUUAUUUUUGAAAUAUCUAUUAUUUUAUUUAGGACUAAAAGAUUUGAAACACUAAUACUUUUAGGUUUUACCUUAGUGUUUUGGAAUUUAUUUGAUGGGGAUGUUAGUUGUGCUAAAGAAUAAGCAAAAACAAAAAAACAUAUAUAAUUGAUUUAUAACAUUAAAUCAAAAUAAUUUUAGGUCUAUUGGUUCUUGGUGAAUAGCCUUACAAUUAAUCUAUUUGAUUUUUAAAAUUAAAUUUUCUUUUUUAAUAGAAAUCUUUCAAUCAUGCACGUAAAUGUUUUUUUUUUUUCUUUCUAGCUCUCCAUCUUUUUCAAAUUUUAAAUUAAUAGCUAUAAUAUUUUAUAUUAACAAAUGUAAGCAAUGUGAUGAUAAAAAACUUUGGUCUCAUGUGAUUUUGCUUUUAAGAAUUCUCUGGUCUCCAUUGUUGUAAGUUGAAGGGUGUAAUUAUUUAUUUUUUUUAAAAAUACUAUUAAUCUUUACUUGAUUUCUUCAAUUCUUGUUUAGAGAUGUGAAAAGCUUCAUUAUUCUUAUAUUCGACAAGACCACGACCAUUUGGGUGAUUUCAAGCAACUAGCAAUUGUUAACUAAUGCAUAAUUAGAACCCAAAUACUAAGAUAAAUUGUACAUCACAUGCUGCUCUUUUCCCUUUAUACAUAUAUAUUCUCUAAUGGUACAUGCGCUUAUUUGUUUUGCUUUAUGAAAGUAAAGUGAGGUAAAUGGAUGAAUGGUAAAAAAAAUGUAUAUUAUUCAUGGUAUACAUUACAACCCUUAAAAAUAUACAUGACUUUCCAAAGGAUACAUGAACUAUAUAUAUAAGGUAUAAAUACAUCAAUCCUAAAUAUAAUAAUUGAUCAUUAACUAAUCUUGAAUUGUGGGAGAAAUUGAUUCUCUCCUAAUAGAAAUAAUGCAUUAGAGAUACACAAAGAAAUUUCUGAUCAGUCAUACUGGGAGGGAAUACUCUAUGUGAUCAACACAACUCCAAAUUUUGUUGAUGGAGGCCUCGUGGUGGAUGUGACACUCCUUCGUUCAAAGAUUGAACCUUUGUUGCAUGAAGAACAAAGAUGAAUUCAUCAUAACACUUUUUGGACGUGAUUGUCCAUUCCCUCCUUCCCAAGUUUCCUUGUAGUAUAGUUGAACCCUUUUGUCCUUGGGGCCAGCCCCUAAUUAAUGCAGCUUUUCCACUUCUUUUUUCGUUGUCCUCUUGCAGAAUGACUCUCAAACUGGGUAGGAAUCAAUUUGUCUGUUAUAUAAAAUAAAAUAAAACAAGUUAUGUACAAAUUAAGCACAAACAAAUCAUGCAUUGAUCCUUAUCAUAAUGUCAUAAUUUUGCUGUGAAAAACUAAGCCAAACAUUGAUCCAUGACAAAGAUGGAAUUGGACUGACCAUUGGUCAAAUUGAUGUCAGUUAUGCCAGUGAGAUCUUGCUUCUUUAACAACCCUGACAAAUAUUCCUAGCCAAGAAAAAGAAAAAAAAUAACUCAACACAAGAAUUCAUAUAUAAAUUAACUCAUACCCAUAAGAUUUUACAUGUAGAGAACCAACCAAGAAAAAAGAAAAAAAGAAAAUGAAGCAUAGUUUAAUCAUGGAGAACAACAAUCAACAAGAUUCAUACAAAAGGCAAUAUUUUCUAGCAGAUUUCACUGAAGAUUGUUGGAUUUUGAUUAGAUCGAAAAUAUUGUCCAACAAAGUAGUGUAUGGUAGAGAUGUUUCUAGUCUGACAACUUUUCUAUGCCAUGUUAUUAUUUCAGAUCUAGAAGCAAGUUGCUAGUGUUUCAAUUACUUAGAUCAGUAAAAUCAUGAAACAAACAUGUAUAAAGAUCAAAACCCAUUUCAUAUAAAGAGGAAAAACUUGUGAUGGAGAGAAAGAGAGACGUGCCUUAUGAGUGGAGCUCUUAAAGUUCUUCUUCAAUAAUUAUCUGUUCAUUCUCAUUUGUUGCUGCAUCAACCACUGUAACUAAGAGCAAUUAGAAACAAUAGCAAUAUAAAAUCUUCAUCAAACCCACCGACUUGGCGAGAAACAAAAAAGAAAAAAAAAGGAAGAAAAAGAAGCAGAACGGGGAGUCCUUAGAAACAAACUUUGUACUAAACUCAUCCAUGACGUCCGCAAAUACAUAUAUCAUUACAAAAUGUGUAGAAAGGGAAGAGUAGCAUUAGUUAAUAGUCAGCUAGUUUCAUGAAAUAACACCAAAGAGCAUUCAAUAAAAUAAAAUAUUACUACUAUUAGUGUAAAUUUUGAAAAGGGUAAACAACCCAAAAAAAAAAAAAAAGCAUUUAACAUGAUUUAAAGAUUUCUAUUAAAAAAGAAAACCAAUUUUAAAAGUGAAAUAGAUAGAAAUCUAAAUGAUGAAUUAUAAGGCUCUUCAAAAAGGAUAUUUUAAACUAAAGAACAAUUCAAAAAUUAAUGAAAUAGAUAAAUGAAAGUUGUUUUUAACCUUGCUAAAUCAUUGAUUCGAUUGACAUUAUCUUCAAUUUUUUCAUACUUUGCUUUAUCAUCAUAGUCACUAUCACAUUUGCCUCUAUAGAGAAGCAUCUCCGAGUGACUCAUGGAAACAAGAGAUAGAAGGCCCAUUAUAUAUUAUCUCAAAAGGUCUUAACAUAGUUAAAGGCUAAUGUUGUAUGGGAAAAAAUCUUGUUCUUAUCAAAUCCCUAAUUAUAUCAUGUUUGGAUUAUUUAUUAAAAAAUUUCACUAUGAUUUGUCAUUUUCUAUAUUUGGAUUCUUAUAUUUAGAAAACUUUAAUUAUGAUAAAUCCACAAAAGGGAAUUUUUGGCAAUUUUUUUCCUAUUCAUAAUGAUAGCUCAAACUUCUACAAAAAAUUAAGGCUAUGUUUGGUUCCUGGAAAGUACAAAGGAAAUAAUAAAAAUGAUAAGGAAAAUUAUUUUCUCAAAUUUGGUUUUACUAUGAAAAUGUGAUAGAAAGUCAAAUAUAAUUAAAAUAAUUAAUAAAUUUAUAUAUUGUCAAAUUAUUUAAUUUUUAUAUCGAAAAGUCAAAUAAGUAAAAAAAGUUUGAAGUAGUAUAUAAAAAUAAUUUAUUAACUUUAAAUCUAUUUCUUUCUUCUUCUUUUUUUCAUUCUUUUCUUUCCUUUUACUUUUCCUCUUUAUAUUUAUUUUUUCCUUCUACUCUUUUUCUUUAUUUUCUUUCCCUUGCAUUUUCUUUUAAACUUUUCGAGAACCAAACAUAGCCUAAAAUAACCUUAUUCAAUUGUUUCCUAUGACUAAGUUUGGUUUUCAAAAAAAUUGAGGGAAAACAUGAUGAAAAUACAAUAAAGAGAAAAAUUAAAAGGAAAGAAAAAUUAAGGAAAAUAAAAAUAAAUCUCAUCUUAUUUGUGUCAACUUUUCUAUAUAAAGGUUAAAUAAUUUAAAUAUAUCUAAAUUUCCAAUUAAUUUUAAUUAUUAUUAUUAUUUUUUACUAUUUUCUAUAUUAAAACCAAACAUGAGAAAAUCAUUUUCCUUAACAUUUUCUUUCUUUCUUUGAUACCUUAUAGGACCAAACAUAGCCUAAGAAAAUUGGCAAUAACAAUGACAUAAGUAUUCUUCCAAGGCCAAGCUAAUAUUGAACACCAAGAUCCUAGUUUCAAUGAAAUAAAUAACAAGAAAAAAAACAACUUGUAUAAAAUUAAGAAAUUAAAAUGGAAUUGGAUCGACAACUAUAGGCCAAAUUGAUGUUUGUAAAGUCUAUGAGAUCUUGUGUGGGUUGAUUUUGUCCUGGCCAAGAAGUCUCCUUCCAUGUUUCUAACUACUUUUUACUUACAGUGGGUGUACCAAAAUAAUAUUUAACACUAAAUACUUAGAUUGUUAAGAUGAAUUUCUAUUCAAAAAGAAAAUUAAUUUUAAAGGUGAAAUGGGUAAAAAUCUAAAAAAUGAAUUUUAUGGUUGUUCACAAGAAGCUAAAGACUUUAAAACAUGAUUUUGAAUGUUAUCAAUCAAUUAUGUUUCUUGUUUUUUUUUUUUUUUUUCUAAGUUCACCAUCUUUUAGCAGAACUAUCUUCCUCAUCCAAUAGAUUCCAAAACACUAGGUAAACCAAAAAAUAUUAUUGUUUCAAAUAUUUUAUUUAUAAAUAAAAUAAUAAAUAUUUUAAAAGUAGAAUCACAAAAUAAAUAAAUAAAUAAAAUUGCGCCAUAACCUUAUAAUCAAAAGGCCUCAACUUAUAUAUAUGGGUCUAUCAAAAACAGAAAUGGGUCUAUCAAAAACAUAAAUGACCAUUUGAUCAUAUUUUGAUUUUCAUAUGUUCAUAUCCUAUUGCAAAGAAAACAAACACAUUAGUAUUUAUGCUUCAAACUUUAAAAGGACAUAAAAAAAAGUAUUGUAACAUCUAAAAAAUUAGACUAUAAAAAACUCCAACUCAGCCAGCAUACAAUCCAUGCCAAAGCAGAAUCUCUACGUGAGAAGUUGAUAAUGCAAUCUACCAGCAAAGAAAACUACUCUCUAUAUUUGUAAUGUGGAAAAUCAAGGCUAGAAGGAAAUCUUCACUUACAUGUUCUAUAUAAUAUUCCUUUUUUUGUGUAAAGAAGGUAUGUAUUGUUUUUAUUUAUUUUUUUAGAAAACAAUUAGUAAGGUUUGGUGCAAAUUCAAUCUUUCAAAAAUAGUUUAUGUUCUUCGUGGUAUUAGAGCCGGUUAACCUAAAACAAUCCAAAGCUUCCAUGGCAACCCCAUAAAAUGUUCUUAGCAUUCAGGCUUUUCAUCAAUGCUCAAGCCUCGUCUCCAUUAAACUAAAUAUGUCCAAUCUCCUUUUGUGGCACUCACAAGUUCUUCCUCUUGUGUGAAGCCUUGGAUUAGUCCAUCAUCUCUCUGAAAAUAGCCACGCAUCAAAUGAGAUAAUGGAUACUAAAACAAAGGAGACCCAUGAUUAGUCAAUAAAGACAUGGUCUCACAAUGAUGGUCUACUUACCUCCUAGCUUCUUAGACUCAUGAUAGAAGAAAUGAUGUUUUUGUUGGAUGGAACAGAGACUGCCUAUGAUGUUUGAAACUCCCUAGAAGAAAAGCUCUUUCCAAUGACCAAAGAGAAGGAGGUGCAAUUGACCAAUAAACUCUGAAGGCUGAAGAAAGGCACAAUGAAUAUCUAAGGGAGUUCAAAGGCAUUUGUGAUGCAUUAGUUGCAGUUAGAAAACCAGUAAGUGACCUAGACAAAGUUUUUCAACUAGCUCAAGAUCUUGGAACUAAAUACAUGGAUUUUCAGGUGGCCAUGUAACCAAAGCCACCGUAUCCCUCUUACAAUCAAUUUGUUUUGGAUCUACAAAGACAUGAACAAAUGAUUAUGACAAGAAAUGAAGAUAACAAGGAGUCAAUAAACCAUGAACAAUCCUAUCUUACCCAACGAGGAAGAGGAAGAAAUCGAGGAGGAAGAUUUCUUUCUAGAGGUCGUGGCUUCACUCCAACAGGAUAAUUCAAUCACAAUGCUACCAAUGACCAAAGGCAGAAUGUUCAUCCUAGCACCAGAAAUCUAAGAAAUAGCUUCAACAACCAGCUUCCACCACAACAGAAACUCCAAAAAUCUGAAGGUACUCUUAUUUGGAAAAUUUGUAAUAAAUCUAACCAUUCAGCUUUGGAUUGUUGGAAUAGAUUCGACUAUUCGUAUCAAUCAGAAGAGAUUCCUCAAGCUUUGGCUUCUAUGGCUCUAAAUGAAGAAGAUAAGGAUCCUAAUUUUUAUGUGGACUCGGGGGCAACAACCUAUAUAACAAAUGACCCAGGUAAGAUGUCCCACAUAAUUCCAUAUAAAGGGCAUGAUGCAAUUUUUGUUAGAAAUGGAGAAGCUUUACGAAUCUCACAUAUUGGUGAAGCUAGACUAAAAACUAAACAUAGAGAUCUAAAGCUUAAAAAAUUAUUGGUUGCUACAGAAUUAAGAAAAGUUUGUUAUCCAUUGGAUAACUUAUCUCUGAUAACCCAUGCUCCAUAGAAUUCUCAUCAACUGGUUUUGUCAUUAAGGAUCAACUUCAACAAGUGUUAGCCAAAGGAACUAAAAAGGGAAGUCUCUAUGCAUUGGAGGAAAAUGUGAUUCAAGCCAUGAUAGUUACUAGGUCUAGCAAGGCAUCAUCAGAAGUGUGGCAUCAAUGUAUGGGGCAUCCGCAAACAAAAUCUAUAAAGCUUCUGCAAGAUAAGAAUUUCAUCGAAGUAUCUAGUUGGAUGAAAUCAACAACAGUACGUGUUAGUUAUCAGUUAGGAAAAAGCUAUAAACUUUCUUUUGGCUUAAUAAAUAAAAUUUCCAACAAUCCUCUUCACAAAAUUCAUUGUGACUUAUGGGGACCUGCACCAACUAAUUCAACUCAAGGAUACAAGUAUUAUGUUGUCUUUAUUGAUGAUCAUACUCGCUAUACAUGGCUUUAUCCCUUGAGAAGAAAAUCAUAUUUCUUUGAAUGUUUUUUGAAGUUUCAAAAUUUGGUUGAGAAUCAACUUGAAAGACAGAUAAAAAUCUUCCAAAGUGAUGGUGGAGGUGAGUUUCAAUCAAUUAAAUUUCAAAAUCACCUAAGCAAGUGUGGAAUUUUGCAACCAGUCUCAUGCCCAGGAACUCUAGAACAAAAUGGGGUUGUAGAGAGAAAACAUGGACAUAUUGUUGAAAUGGGUCUAACAAUGCUUUUUAAUGCCAAACUAUCAUUGAGUCUAUGGGUAGACACAUUCCUUACUGUUGUAUACCUCAUUAACCAGUUGCCUUGCACGAUGUUGAAAAUGGAGAGCCCAUUCUUUAUGCUCUUCAAACAAUAUCCAUAAUAUAGGAGCUUGAGAAUUUUUGGUUGUUAGUGUUUUCCAUACCUUACUACGAGAAGAAUAAAUUCUCACCUAAGACAUAUCCAUAUGUUUUUAUUGGAUAUAUCUCUCUACACAAGGGUUAUAGAUGCUUGCAUCCUUCAACUAAAAGAGUUUACAUAUCUCGUCAUGUCAUCUUCAAUGAAAAUUGCUUUUCUUAUGCUAACUCUCUUGUUAAGAAAAAUCAUUUAUAGAUUCCUAUAGAAAUGGUAUCAUUCUCAACUUCAGAUGCUUCUUGUGAGACUUCAAAAAUAGAUCACCAAACUAAGUCUUAGAAUGAGAACACUACUAACCGAUCAAGCAACUCCAAGAAGUGCAACAACUGUCCAUGCACUAUUGAGCAAAGAAACCAAUUUAGUGUAGAAGGAAGAAUUUUUGCUAGUUGCAAUACUAACCAAAAUACAAAAGCAUCAUGUGUUAAUCUGAUUGGAACUCCUACUACUAUUGCUGCUAAAAUUUCCACUAUUACUGUUAGUACAAAUGACCACAAUACCGUCAAUACUACUAAAACUCCCAUUGAUGUUGCUCUUGGUGCUAGUGGCCACAAUUCCAACAUUGCUACUACUACUGGAAUACUCUCCCAGAUUGAGUCUACUAGUAGCUACAAGCUUUCCAUUGUUAAUAAUUUUCCUGAUAUCAGUAAGCACCUAGUAGUUGAUUUCUCUUUUCCUAAAAAAUGGUAGAAAAAUGAGCAUGUUGGUCCACCUCUGCAAAACAAAUCAACCAAUCACAGUGUUGAUGAUGAAGUUCCUGAUAUUAGCAAGCAAGUUGUUGUUGACAUCUUUUCUCCUCAGGUUCAACACACAAAUAACAAAGGAACUCAUAUGAUCACCAGAAGUAAACUCAAGAAUGAUUCUAGUUUAAAGUCUCAAAUGGUUACUUUUGCUGCCACGAGAAGUAAUAUUAGUGAGCCAAAAACAUAUCGUACAACAUUGAAAAUUCCCCAUUGGUUCAAAGUAAUGCAAGAGGAAAUCAAGGCUUUAAUCUAAAAUCGAACAUAGGAUUUGAUUCCUAGGCUUCCAACUACAAAUAUUGAGGGUUCUAAAUGGGUGUUUAAAACAAAGCUGAAGGAAGAUGGAACCAUAGAUAGAUACAAAGCACGAUUAGUUGCUCAAGGUUUUUCUCAAAUACCGGGUUUGGACUUUAGAGAGACCUUCAGCCCAAUUAUAAAGCAUACUAUAAUCAGAUUGAUCCUUUCACUAGCAGUAACCUUGGGGUGGACAAUGGGGCAAUUGGAUGUUAAGAAAGCCUUCAUACAUAGGUUUCUAAAGGAAGAAGUAUUCAUGGAACAACCUCCAAGAUUUAUAAAUGAAGACCUUUCGAAUCAUGUCCGCAAAUUGAAUCGCUCUCUUUGUGGCCUUAAGCAAGCUCCAAGGGGCCUGGUUUGAUAGACUAUCCCAACGUCUUCUUCAUCUGGGGUUUUACUGUGGUAAGGCAGACUCGUCUCUAUUUAUUCUUCACAAAGGUCAGUCUAUUGUUUUACUCCUUAUCUAUGUUGAUGAUAUUAUAAUCACAGGCAAUGAUAAGAACUUCAUUAGUGACCUCAUUAACACCCUGAGUAGUGAAUUUUCUCCCAAGGACUUAAGAUCUUUACAUUAUUUUUUGGGAUUGAAGGUUAAAUAUCUUCCUAAUGGGUCGUUUGUUUCUCAAAUAAAGUACACUAGAGAUCUCCUAGAGCACACAAAAAUGGAGUAUACUCAUACCAACACACCCAAGGCUCUUAAGUCCAUUAUCAUACCUUCUGAUGAACAACCUAUUGAUCCUACAAGAUAUAGGAAACUCGUUGGAUCCCUCCAAUAUUUAACCUUCACAAGGCUUGAUAUUGUGCAUGAAGUAAACAAGGCCUGCCAACAUUUCCAAGCACCCACUAAAGUUUACUUGCGAGCUAUCAAACGCAUCCUUAGAUAUUUGAAGGGAACAAUGGAGCAUGGAAUCAAGGUUUUCAAGUAAAGUUCGCUUCAUCUCACUAGUUGAUUGGGCAAGAUGCACAAACACAAGAAGAAGCUCAAUAUUUUAUUUUUUAGGAGCUAAUUGUAUCUCAUGGUCCUCAAAGCGACAACCUACAGUUUCUAGAUCAAGCACCGAGGUCGAAUAUCGAUCCCUUGCAUCCAGUGCCACAAAAAUAACUUGGCUUACUUUCCUUCUCCAUGAUAUUGGCAUUCAACUACGUGAACCUCCUCAAUUGCUAUGCGAUAACCUCAGUGUCCUUCACAUGAUAGUAAAUCUCGUCUUCCCUGCACGUUCCAAGCAUAUUGAGUUGGACCAUCAUUUUGUUCGGGAAAAAGUUGCAAGUGGAGUAUUGAUUACUCGUUUCCUUCCAUCAUCCUUACAAGUAGUUGAUAUAUUCACAAAGGCACUCCCUAAGACUUCAUUCCAAGUCUUUCGAUUCAAGCUAGGAGUGCACAAGUUACCACUCACUAGCUUGCGGGGGGCUGAUAAAGGAAACUCCAACUCAGCCAGCAUACAAUCCAUGAUAAAGCAGAAUCUUUAUGUGAGAAGUUGAUAGUGCAAUCUGGCAAGAAGGAAAACUACUGUCCAUAUUUGUAAUGUGAAAAAUCAAGGUUAGAAGGAAAUCUUCACUUACCUGUUCUGUAUAAUAUUCCCUUUUUUGUGUAAAGAAAGUAUGUAUUGUUUUUAUUUUUAUUUUUUUUAGAAAACAAUUAGUAAGGUGUGGUGCAAAUUCAACCUUUCAAAAAUAGUUUAUGUUCUUUAGGACCAAAUCUAUAAUUCUAACCAAAUGUAGGGAAAAAAAUUCACAAAUUUAUAUCAAAUUUGAGCCAAAAAAAUAAUGCAUUCAAAUGACAUUUGAAUUUCUUAAAUAAGUCUAUAUUUAAAAUUUAUAUGAUGUAAAUUGUAGCACCAUAGGCUAGAUCAUCAUAAGGCACAAUAAAUAGUGCAAAGUCUACAUUAAAUGUACAAAAAUUGGACAUAGACAACUAUUCCAAAAGACGAUUAGUGUAGGAAACAAAACUCAUAACCAUCAUCAAGAGACACAUUGUUUUUUCCCCAACUCCCUUGUUUAUGGCCUUCAAAAUUUGUGAUUUUGAGGCCCUAAACAAGGAAUUUAGUCAAAAUGAAAAAUAGCUUGUGCCAUAGGAUGGUUGUGAAUUUUGGUUUUUGAUGUGAUUCCCUCCUAAAAUGGGUGCCCAUUACCAAAUUUGCUAAUUUAACCUAGAUCCCUUACACUUUCCACUAUAUUUUGUGAUAUCCCAUAGGGCCAUGUAAUUUAAAGCCUUAUAAUCUACAUUGAUUAUGUAAAUCAAGAUUGAAACUUCAACUUUCCAAUUGACAAAAUGAAUCUUCAACUAUCUAAAUUACAAACAAUGCUUACUAAUGAAUAAACAUGAUGUUUGAACUUUACCUUAAGCCAUUUUAGAAAAUCAAAAUUAAUUCAAAAGCUUCUUGCACUAGUUCAAAGUUGUGCAAGCUCUAAAUGAUUUUUUUAACUUUAUGCUUUUUACUCCCUCUUAAUUCUUGUUUCAGUGUUGGAUUCUCACAAAACCUAAUACAUAAGUCAAGAAGAACUAUACGUCAUUCUUUUAAAGAAGACUUCAAUUAAUUUCUCAAAUAUAUAUUAAAUGAAUCCUUUGGGAUGCACAAAUCUUAAUCUUUAUUAUUCAUAAUCAUUCGAAUGCAAUCUUUUUAUAACUUAAUCAAAGUUGAUAUAAAUUUAUGAUUUCUUUAAUCACAUAGUUGGUUAGAGUUUUAAGGUUUGGUCUCUUUUAAUCAUGAAGUCAACCUUUGUUUAAUUUUGUAAUUUUUUUAGAUGUUUAGGUGAUCAAGUAGUACUUUUAGUGUUCUUUUCCUUUAAAAUUCUAGUGCAUAAAUAUUAGGGUUAAUUUCACUCACACCCUUAAGGUUCGGUAUAAAUACACCUAACCGCCAUAAGUUUCAAAUUUCAUCAAUUAGCACCCUAUAAAUUUAUUUUAUUUAUUUCAUUUACUUUUUAGAGGAAUUUUAAGUAAAAAGAUUUUAGAUAGACACCGUUUAACAAUUCUCUAAAAAAAUAUAUUUUAAAUAUGAGAUACAUUUAUAAGAAUGAUAAUUGACGGUUUUUUUUUGUUUUUUUAUAAAUGAAACAAAUUUAUAAGGGUGUUAAUUUAUGAAAUUUGAAACCAAUGGUGUUGUUUAGUGUUUUUCCACUAAAUUAACCUCAAGGAUUGUGAACGAACUUAACCUUAAAUAUUAUUGUGUUUGCUUUCUUCACCAUAGAGCACAAACAUUUAUGAAAAUCAAAAUAUGAUUAAAUAAUCUUUUAUUUGUUUCAUAAGCCCAUGUAUUUGAGUUGAGGCCUUUGAAUUAAAAUAUUAAGGUCCAAAUUUUGUUUCUAUGGUUUUACUUUUCAAAUAUCUAUUAUUUUAUUUAGGAAUAAAAGAUUUGAAACACUAAUAUUUUUAGGUUUUUCCUUAGUGUUUUGGAAUUUAUUUGAUAGGGAAGUUAGUUGUGCUAAAAAAUGAAGAAAAAGGGAAAAUCAUAAUUAAUUUAUAAUAUUAAUUAAUUCAAAAUCAUAUUUAGGUCUUUAGCUUCUUGUUGAAUAGCCUUACAAUUCAUCUUCUAGAUUUUCAUCUAUUUCACUUUUAAAAUUAAUUUUUCUUUUUUAAUAGAAAUCUUUCAAUCAUGUGCUUAAAUGGUUUUUUUUUUUUUGGCUCUCCGUCCUUUCCAAAUUUUAAAUUAAUAGCAAUAGUAUUUUAUAUUAACAAAUACAUGCACUAUGCUAAAAAAAAUUGGUCUCAUGUGAUUUUGCUUUUAAGAAUUCUCUUAUUUCCAUUUUUGUAAUUAAAAGGGUGUGAUUAUUUUAAAAAAAAUGCUAUUAAUCUUUUCUUGAAUUUCUAUAAUUCUUUUUUAGAGAUAUGAAAAGCUUCAUUAUUCUUAUAUUCAACAAGAUCAUGACCUUUUGGGUGAUUUUAAGCAACUAGCAAUUGUUAACAAUGCAUAAUUAGAACCCAAAUUCUAAGACAAAUUGUACAUCACAUAUUGCUCUCUUCCCUUUCUACAUAUAUAUUCUCUAAUAGUACAUGCACUUAUAAUUUCUGUUUUAUGAAAUUAAAGAGGUAAAUGGAUGAAUAGUCAAAAGAAUGUAUAUUAUUCAUUGGAUACAUUACAACUCUUAAAUAUAUACAUGACUUUCCAAAGGAUAUAUGAACUAUACAAGGUAUACAUACAUCACUCCUAAACAUAACAAUUGAUCAUUAACUACUCUUAAAUUGUAGGAGAAAUUGAUUCUCUCCUAAUAGAAAUAAUGCAUUAGAGAUACACAGAAGUUUCUAAUCAGUCAUAUUGAGAGGGAUUACUCUAUGGAUCAACACAACUCCAAUGUUCGUUGAUGGAGGCAUCAUGAAGGAUCAUAAAUUGAUCAAGGUGGAUAGCACUUUUAGGACGUGAGUGCCCAUUCCCUCCUUCCCAAAUUUCCUUGUAGUUUCCUAGUAGAAUGACUCUCCAGCUGGGCAGAAGUUGAUUUGUCCAAUUACAAAACAACCAUUUAUCAGUUAUGUACAAAUUAAGUAUAGAAAAAUCAUGCAUUGAUCCUUAUCAUAAUGUCAUAAUUUUGCUUCGAAAAACUAAGCCAAACAUUUGAUCCAUGACUAGGAUGAAAUUGGACUGACCAUGAUUCAAAUUGAUGUCCAUUAUGCUUGUGAGAUCUUGCUUCCUUAUUUGCCCUGGCCAAUAUUCUUGGCCAAGAAAAAGAACAAAAAGGUCUCAACACUAGAAUUCAUAUAUAAAUCAACACAUACCCAUAUGUAUCAUUUUUGGAAAUUCACAUAAGAUUUUAAAUGUAGAGAACCAACCAAGAAAAGAGAGAGAAAAAGAGAGAAAAAGAAGAUUGCUGGAUUUUGAUCAGAUGGAAAAUAUUAUCCAACAAAGCAGUGUACUGUAGAGAUGUUUCUAGUUUGACAAAUGUUUUCUAUGCCAUGCUAUUAUUUCAAAUCUAGAAGCAGGUUGCUAGUGUUUCAAUGCUUAGAUCAGUAAAAUCAUGAAACAAGCAUGUAUAAAGAUCAAAAACAAUUUCAUAUAGAGGAAAAACUUGUGAUGGAGAGAAAGAGAGGCGUACGUGCCUUAUGAGCAACCAGCAACACACUCACAGGAGAUCUUUAAGUUCUGCUUCAGUAAAUAUCCGUUCAUUCUCAUUUGUGCCUGCAUCAACCACUGUAACAAAGAGCAAUUAAAAACAAUAGAAAUAUACAAUCUUCCAAUUUUGCUAUAAAGAAAAUCAUCUAUAACCCAUUGUAGAGUUCACUUGGUGAGAAAUAAAAAGGAAGAAGAGGCAGUCCUCAAAAACAAAUUUUGUACUAAACUCAUCCAUGACGUCCGUAAGUACAUGUAUCGUUACAGAAUAUGUAGAAAGGGAAAAGCAGCAUUUACUGAAAUAAAAUAUUACUGCUAUUGAUUUAAAAUUUGAAAAGGGUAAACAACCCAAAAACAUUUAACAUGAUCUAAAGAUUUCUAUUCAAAAAGAAAACUAAUUUUAAAAGUGAAAUAGGUAAAAAUUUAAAUGAUGAAUUAUAAUGCUCUUCAAAAAGGAUAUUUGAGAAGAAAUAACAAUUGAAAAAAAAAAUAUAGAUAAAUGAAAGUUGCUUUUACCCUUGCUAAAUCAUUGAUUUGAUCAAUAUUAUCUUGAAUUCUUUCAUACUCUCCUUCAUCAUCACAAUUACUUUUACCUUUAUUUCACCUUCACCUUCACCUUUACAAAGAAGCAUCUUCAAGUGACUCAUGGCAACGAGAUAUAAGGUCCAUUAUAUAUUAUCUCACAAAGUCUUAAUAUCUCACAAAGUCUUAACAUCGUUAAAGUUUAAUGUUUUAUGGGAAAAAAAAUCCCAUUCCUAUCUAUUCCAAUCUAAUUAUACCAUGUUUGGAUUAUUAUAUUAAAAAAAUUUCCCAAUGAUUUGUCAUUUUCCAUAUUUGGAUUCGUAUAUUUAGAAAACGUUAAUUAUGAUAAAUCCAUAAAAGAUAAUUUUUGGCAACUUUUUUCCUAUUCAUAAUGAUAGCUCAAAUAUUUAAGAAAAAUUAAGGCUAUAUUUGGUUCCCCGAAAGUAUUAGGGAAAGAAAAAAGUGGAAAAUGAUUUUUUUCAUAUUUAGUUUUACGAUCAAAAAAAUGCAUAGAAAGUCAAUUAUUAGAUUAUGGACACCAAAUUUUGGGAAGGUUUCAUGUAGUAGAUAGUAGGUCAUGAACUUAAAAAAUUGAUUAAAUUCAAUUUAAUCAAUUUUCAUCUCAAUAUAAUUCCAUAAUGUAUUGGAGUGCAGUUGAUUCUUGAGAAAAUAAAGGCUAAUCUUAAUAUGGAAAGCACCCAAGAGGGAGGGUGAAUUAGGUUUUAAAAAAUCUUUUUCAAAUACAAUAAAUUCAAGCAAAGGAAACACAAAUAUAAAAAGAUAAGGUUAGAGAAAGUAAACUUAGAUUUUAUAGUGAUUUGACACCCCUUGCCUAUGUCCACUCUCUUUAAAACUACUAACCGAGUGAGGGUUCCGCUAUACUUGAAGUUUCAACCAAGCUUCCAACACCUUUACACUUGGAUUUCGACUCCAAUGAGCUCUUACACAAUCCCUUCAAGUCUUUGCUCACUUGAAGCUUUUAACACUCAAAUAACAAGUUUAAAUCUCUUAACCUAGCUCAAUAAGGGCUCAAAUACAACUUAAAUGCUAGAAAGAAUCAUAAGGGUGCACUAAGGAAUAUGCAAGUGGAGGUUUAAUGCACCAAGGAAAGAAUGAGAGCUUUUGAGUCAAGAACAAGUAGGUAAACAAAUAAAUGCAAGUGUUCUCUUGCUCAUAAAUGAAGUGGAGUUCUCAAUUUAUAGGUUUUUAACCUCGAAAACCAAAAUGCCAAAAAGCAACCUUGAUCGGUUGAGUUGGGGGUCGAUCAAUUGAUUAGUCAUUGGGCAAUAAAUGCAUGCUAGGUGAUCAUUAGGCCUCGAUCGGUCCUUGUCGGGAAGGCAUAACCCUUGAUCGAGAAUGCAAGGCUAUUGGAAGAGAGAGAAGAUUUUUUGCAUCUCUCGACCGAACAUCGAUCGAGAAGGUAUAACCAGUCGACUAAUACCUUAAUUGAUCAAUGGUACCCUAACCAAUUGAGUCGGUUUGCCAAUGCCUCGAUCGAUUCACCAUUUUUUGUCCGAAAACCUAUAUUUUUUUUAUUAUUAUUUUGACUCCUAACACUUAGGCAAGGUCUUUAGGUAAAUUAAUAUGUUAAUUUUGAAAUGAUUUGGCUAAAGUUCAUUUGAUAAAACUCGAGUUUUGAUGGAAAUGUAACUUUAAUGCAUAAACCGAGUUUUUAAAGAUGCAUCAAAAGAUAUGAAAUCCCUAAGUGCACCCAUGCAUUCAUCUUACGUAUGUUUCCUAUGAUUAAAGAGUUUUCCAAUUGUCUUGAUUUUACAUCAACUAAGUCCUUUGAUGAAUUUCCAAACUAACACCUGAAAUUCUUUUUAAUUCAAAACGAUUAGCAACUUAACCAUAGUUUGUUAUCAUCAAAACGCGAUUAGGAGAAUUCAUGGGCUAACAAUUCUCGUUAAUGGAGUGUUUAAGUAACUUCAAAACUAGGUUUUGAGAAAGUCAAUAUUUUUCUAUGGAUCAUAGUGGUUCUUGCUUGAGCUCAUGGUCUUUGUUGAAACAAAGAUUUGAGGGAAAUUGGAAAUUUAAUCACAUAUGUGCAUAAGGGCAAUUGCUAAAAGUGUAAGGUAGUAUAAGAACUUAUGAUUAUUUAUUUUGAGGUUUUAUAUAGAAUCAUUCAUUUAUGUGUAUAAGGGUAUUUUGGCAAAAAAAAAAAAAAAAAGUAAGGUUGCACAUAAUUAAUGAAUAAUUAUUUUGGUUUUUUCCCUAGAUUAGACUAAUUAAUUAACUAGAGCCCAAUAGGGCUAAUUAAUUAAUUAGGAUCCAAUGAGUUAUAUUAAGUGACCUAAGCCAAAGUUGGGCCAAAGUCACUUAAACCCAUAAGAGAGGGUAUAUAAAACCCCUUAGGGUUUUUGAAUUAUUUAACUUAUUCAUUCCAUUCUUUCAAAGAGAGCUCUAACCUCCAUCUCUCUCCCUCUUAAGUAUGUAGCUACUUUAAACAUGUGCCAAGGAUCAAAGACAAAGCCAUUGGGUGGAAGGUCUGUAGGCCUUUGAGAUCCUUACAUCAAUUGGAAUAGGAUUUGGGAACAUCUAGAUUCAAAGGUAUGAUUUUUAACACCUAAAUCUAAUUUUUAUUACUUUUGUUGUGUUUAGAUAUAGUAGCUAGCUCAAAGAACUAGAGAGCAUGCACCCUAUGAUCUUGGUGCUUCCUAUUAAAAUUAGUUCAGCAAAACAUAACUUUAGCUAGUGGUGACGCACUUCCAAGCUGCAACCAUGUGUCAUAUAAAAGCUAACUAAUCUAAGUGUCCUAACCAAUCCCUCGAGUUGAACAUUUACCUUGUAAAGAGUACAAGUGACUACUACAACCACCAUCUAAAGGGAGAAUACCAAAUAAAUUUUCAACUACUUAAAUUAAGAAAGUUGUUGACUCAAUUGCCCUUUCCUAGUGACAUUUUGCCUCAUCGGAGUGCAUCUCAUAGCAAUAGAUUAAUUCAGAUUUGUCCUCUAAUCACUUCACUAAUAAAAUUAAAAUUUAGCUAAAAUUUUUAUGAACCAUCUCUCUUUUUUAGACAUCAUAAUUCAACAUGUCGUUUCUUAUACCUUUAAUCCCUUCCUAUAAUUGAGCUAAAAUCAGGACAUUAUAAUUAAAAACAAGGCCAUUACGGUUAUUUAUGUAGGAAUAAAAUUUACUCAUUCGUUGAUUUUUAUGCAUCAAUAAAUAACGAAUCUUUAAUUGACAUGUAUUAAAUGACUAAAUAAAAAUCCACAUUUAUAACAAAAGUUAUAAUAGUUGUGGCAAAUAAAAAGAUGUCGAGAGCAUAACCCUUGUGAUACAUAAAAUCCUUCUAAGUGUACUAUACAUCUUUGAAUAAAAUAAAGGCAUGGGGGCUACACAAAGGAGAAACUGUAUUCUAAUGAAAUAAAACUAAAUUAAUUAAUUUUUAUGAUUAAGAAAUAAUAUCCACAUUUUUAAUUAAUCCACAUUUUUUUGCAAUUAAGGUAAUAAUCGUAGUAACAAUAAUUAUUUAUUAAAAAAAAUAAGGGAUAAUUCAAAGGUAAUUUCUCAAAUUUUAUGCCUCUUUGACCUUCAAAGAAGAAUGUCUCAAAUUUUAUAUCUCUUUGGCUUUCAAAGAAUACUUGCACAGUUUGAUAUGUAAGAAAAAUUGUAGAUAUCUAACUUUAAAUUUUGAAGGUAUUUUGGUGAAAAAAUGUAAGGUUGCACAUAAUUUAUGAUUAAUUAUUUUGGUUUUUCUUCCUAGAUUGGACUAAUUAAUUAAUUAGAACCCAAUAAGACUAAUUAAUUAAUUAGGAUUCAGUGAGUUAUAUUAAGUGACCUAAGCCAAAAUUGGUCCAAAAUCACUUAAACCCAUAAGAGAGGGUGUAUAAACCCCCUUAAGGUUUUCGGAUUAGUUAAAUCAUAAUUCCAUUCUUUCAAAGAGAGCCCUAACCUCCAUCCCUCUCCCUCUUAAGUGUGUAGCUACUUUAAACAUGUGUCAAGGAUCAAAGACAAAACCAUUGGGUAGAAGGUCUGUAGGUUUUUGAGAUCCUUACAUCAAUUAGAAUAGGAUUUGGAAACAUCUAGAUUCAAAUAUAUGAUUUUUAACACCUAAAUCUAAUUUUUAUUGCUUUUGUUACGUUUAGAUAUAGUAGCUAGCUCAAAGAACAUGCACCCUAUGAUCCCGGUGUUUCUAACAAAAAGUAGUUUAGCAAAGCAUAACUUUAGCUAGCGGUGGCUCACUUCCAAGUUGCAACAAGCUGAAACCAUGUGUCAUAUAAAAGCUAACUAAUCUAAGUUUCCUAACGAAUUCCUCAAGUUAAACAUUUACAUGCGACAGUGAAAAGUGCAAGUGACUACUACAACCACCAUCUAAUGGGAGAAUACCAAAUAAAUUUAUGAGCCGCUUAAAUUAAGCAAAUUGUUGACUCAAUUGCCCUUUCCUAGUGAAACUUUGCUACUUGUAUGCCACAUCGGAGUGCUUCUCAUAGCUAUACAUUAAUCACUCCACCAAUAACAUUAAAAUUUAGCUAAAUUUUUUAUGAAACAUCUCUCUUUUUCAGACUUAAUAAUUCAGCAUACUAUUUCUUAUACCUUUAAUCUCUUCCUAUAAUUAUGCUAAAAUCAGGGAAAUUAUAAUAAAAAACAAGGCCACUACGGUUAUUUAUGGAGGAAUAAAUUUACUCAUUCAUUGAUUUUUAAGCCUCAACAAAUAACCAAUCUUUAAUUGACACAUGUUAAAUAACUAAAUAAAAAUCCACAUCUAUAACAAAAGUUAUAAUAGUUGUGGCAAAUAAAAAGAUGUUGAAAGCAUAACCCUUGUGAUACUGUAAGUGUAAUAUACAUCUUUGAAUAAAAUAAAGGCAUGUGGGCUACACAAAAGAGAAACUGCAUUAUAAUGAAAUAAAAAUAAAUUAAUUAAUUUUUAUUAUUAAGAAAUAAAAUUUAUCCCUUUUUUUAUACAAUUAAGAUAAUAAUCUUAGUAAAAAUAAUUAUUGAUAAAAAAUUAAGGGAUAAUGCAAAGGGAAUUUCUCAAAUUUUAUGCCUCUUUGACUUUCAAAGAAGAAUGUCUCAAAUUUUAUACCUCUUUGGCUUCCAAAGAAUACUUUCACAGUUUGAUAUGUGAGAAAAAUUGUAGAUAUCUAACGUUAAUUUUGAAAGAUUUGAAAACAAAUUUAAAAGUUUAAAAAAGGAAUUUCUUAAAUUUUAUGCCUCUUUGACUUUCAAAGAAGAAUUUCUCAAAUUUUAUGCAUAUUUGGCUUUCAAAGAAUACUUUCAGACUUUAUUACAUGAGAAAAUUAGAGUGUAUUUGAAAGUAUUUAUAUUCAAAGUGUUUUUUCUAAAAGUGUUUUUAAAAGAAUCACCUAUAAAACACUAUAAGUGACUAGUCAACACUACAAGUAAUUUUUCAACACAACAAAAUUGUUUCAUAACUUUUUUCAAACAUCUUAUUAUUGUUGUUAUUGUCAAAAACACUUUUUAGGUUAGAAGUGUUUCUCAAAAACACAAUUAAACAGACUAUUAGUUAUAGAUAUCUAACUUUAAAUUUUCAAAGAUUUGAAAAACAAAAGGUUCAAAGAAUAAAAUUUAAAAAUUUGGAAAAACCAAGUUCGAAGUGUCAUCCAUUUGAGAUCAAGUUCUUGUCAAGCAAAGGACUAAGUCCUAGAUCAAGGCUUGGGUCCAAAGGUAACAUAAGCUCAAACUUAUGGGCCUAAGUCCAAGCCUAAGUGGGUGUUUAAUAAAACUUAAUAUUUAUUACUUAAUGAUUUAAGUUGACUUUUAAGUUAAAUUAUUUUUAAGUUCUGAACUUAAAACUUAUUAUUUAAUUUUUAUUUUAAGUAUUAAGGUUGUUUGAUAAAAUUAACUUAAAAUUUAUUUUAAGUUAUUGAAUUAACAUAUUUUCCCCAUUAGUUUUAAUUAAUAUUUUUAUUAAAAAUUUAACUAAUAUUUAUUUUUAUUAAUUUUAAGUAAUAAAUGUGUUUAUUAAAUAUUCAUACUUAAAGUAUUUUAGAUUUAUAUGAUAACUUCAAUAGACACUCCAAUAUUUUUCCUAUCACUUCAAUAGACCCUUAAUAUAACUUAAUCAUAUUGUCUAUUGUCUACUCUAUUCGACCCUUUUGGGAUCCUAUGUGACGUCGGACAAUUACAUGUGUUAGGUUUUCAAUGGGCAAUCAACUACUUUAUAAUGGCAAUAGACCUUUGUCUUAAUUGACGACAAAGCCUUGCACUUGGGAUUUUUUCCAAGGGAUCCUUCUUAGAAUCCAAUGAUUUUUAAACCAUUAACUUUUAUUAUAAGGAUAACCCAGUCCAUGACAAUUGGAUAUGGACUACUUGGAUGUCUAUUUUUUCCUAAUUUCCACAUGCAAACUGACAAUAGAAUGUGAACAAAAUAAGGACAGCAUGGUAAUAAUGAUUGAAGAAUAACAAAUUUAGUAUUCGAUGAAUAUAUUUUCUUUUAAAAUAUAUAUAUAUAUAUAUAUAUAUAUAUAUAUAUAUAUAUAUAUAUAUAAUAAUUUCUAUGUAAAAUAUAAUAAUUUUUUUUAUAAAAAGGUUUAAAUUGACAAUGUAAUGAUUUUUAAAAAUUAAUUUAAUCUACUUAAUAAAUUAAAUUAAAUUAUUAUGUCACCUUAAGGCAUUAAGUUAAAUUACCAAACACCCUAUAAGACCAAAAUAAGACUCUAAUGAAAUAUAUAUGUAUAUAUAUAGCCACAGGAGAGAGAGAUUAUCAUUUAUAUUUGAUUAUUAUAUAUACAACAAAAAAUCAAUUUAUUUAUAAUUUUGAGAAAUUUAUGCAUAGAUUAAGGUGAUAUUUGGUAAAACUUAAUACCUAUUACUUAAUCAUUUGAGUUGACUUUAACUUAAAUUAUUAACUUAAAACUUAUUACUUAAUUUUUACUUUAAGUACGAAGGUUGUUUGAUAAAAUUAAUUUAAAACUUAUUCUAAAUUAUAAAAUUGACAUAUUUCUACUCAUAAAUUAUAACUAGGGCAAAAAAAUUUGAAUAGUAGCAGAUGUUGUAGAGUAGCAAAAGAGAUGGUCAAGGUAAUUAGGAUAAAUAAGAGUAAAAAGGUAAAAUAAAUAUAUGAACUUAAUUAUUUUUAUUUAUUACUUAAAGUUGUUUUUUACUUUAUAUCACACCAUUAAAUUAUUUUACUAAUAAAUAAGAGCAAAAAGGCAAAAUAAAUAUAUGAACUUAAGAAUAAGUUAAUUAUUUUUACUUAUUAUCUAAAGUUGUUUUUUACUUUAUGUUACACUAUUAAAUUAUUUUUCUAAAUAUAAUUAAUGUACUUAAUGAAUUAAAUUAAGUUAUUAAGUUAUUAAAUUGAUUUAUGACACACACACUAAAUAAAAAAAACUUAAAUUUAUUUAUUUAUUUUUUUGUUGUCUCUCAUGAAUAAUUAAAAGAAAAAAAAGUAAAAUAUAACAUUUUCCAAAAUAAAGAAAUAAACAAACACUCCAAUCUUUUUCUUUUCACUUCAAUAGGCCCUCCACAUAUCUUAAUAAUAUUGUCUAUUGUCUACUCUCUUCAACCCUUUUGGGAUACUAUGUGAUGUCGGACAAUUACAUGUGUUGGGUUUUCACCGGGCAAUCAACUAUUUUAUAAUGGCAAUAGACCUCUGACUUAAUUGAGGACAAAGCCUUGCACUUGGGAUCUUCUCCAAGGGAUCCUUCUAAGAAUCCAAUGAUUUCUAAACCAUUAACUUUUAUUAUAAGGAUAACCCAGUCCAUGACAAUGGGAUAUGGACUACUUGGAUGUCUAUUUUUUCCUAAUUUCCACAUGCAAACUGACAAUAGAAUGUGAACAAAAUAAGGACAGCAUGGUAAUAAUGAUUGAAGAAUAACAUAUAAAGCAUUCCAUGGAAUAUAUUUUCUUUUUUAAAAUAAGCAAAAAUAAAAUAUAGUAAUUUCUAUGGAAAAUAUAAUAUAUAUAUAUACAAAAAAGUCAUUUUUUUAUUUUUUAAAAAUAAAAAAUAGAAAAUAUAUUUAAAGAAAGCUUUGAUUUAUAAAUUAUUAUAAAAGCCUCAUUUUUUAAAUAAUAAGAUAUUAGUGGGAAUGAAUCAUUGGUCAUUCCAAAGUAUACAUGGAUUGUAAUUGAUGGUUAUUCUUCUUGGAAGAUAUCAUCCAUACUGCCAAAUUUUGCAAUGGCAUAAAUGACAAAUACAAGAAUGAUGAAUAAAAACAUGUUAUAUAUAUAUAUAUAUAUAUUAUCACAAUUUUGUUUUGUCAUUGCCAUCAUUUUUAUGGCGGUGGUAAAAACUAAGGAAUUUGUCCCGACUUUAAAAAACAUGAUUACAUGAUUUUAAUGUGAAGGACUAGACUGAUUAACUUAGAGUGCUUUUGAAAGUGAUUCUAGAAAAUAUUAUUAACAUUUUAAACAUUUGAAUGACAAAAAUUUUUAAAUAUUAAAAAUGUUAGAAACAUUUCUUAAAAUCACUAUUAAACGGACUCUUAAUGUGAUUUUAGUAGUGAUUCUAACAUUUUUAAUAUUUGAAAGAUAAAAAAUUUUAAGUGUUAAAAAAAGUAGAAAUACUUUUUGAAAUCACUAUUAAAUACAUGCUUAAGAGUCUAUUUGACAAUGAUUAAGGGAAGCUUUUUUAUUUUAAAAAGUGUUUUUGAAAAAAAAUUAAUCGUGUAUUUGAUAGUGAUUUUGAGAAUUGUUUUUAGUUUUCCUAAUACUUAGAAAUUUUUAUUUUUCAAGUAUUAGAAAUAUUAAAAAUACCUCAUGAAAUCAAUAUUAAACGCACUCUAAGAGUGUUUGUAAGUGAUUUUAGAAACUGUUUUUAAUAUUUCUAAAACUUGAAUAAUAAAAAUUUUUAAGUAUUAGAAAAAUUAAAAGUACUUUAUAAAAUUACUACCAAAUGGGUUAUAAGUGUUUAACAAAAUUUAUGAAAUAUUUUUAAAAAUUAAAAAAAUAUUUUAUGAUAUUAAAAAAUCACUUAUAAUAUUUUUUUGAGAAAAUACUUAUAUUAAAAAUACUUGCAAUGGUUUAUAGGUCCACUUCAAAAGAGCACUUGCGGCAUCGGGUAAUAAGCAAUGACGUAAGCAAAGAUGGUGAUACUAUUGAUAGAGACCAUUUAAUACACAAUGUACAGGCUUGGAAAUGAGAACACGUGUCCUAUCGUGAGGCAAUAAGAAAGUGUUGUAUAUAUGCCGGCCAUUGCUCGCCAACGAGUAAGAUAAGAAGUGAUGGGCCUAUUAAUAUAAAUUGAUUCUCUCAACUAUGAAGUAAUUUAGAGGUCGCUGCUGGAAUGCUCUUCCAAAGUGGAAAUGAAGCUUAGCUCAGUUGCAAUUUCCUUUGCUUUUAUUGUUCUCCUCAUAUAUGCAUGGCGGUUAUUGAAUUGGGUGUGGUUGAGACCAAAGAAGCUAGAGAGAUGCCUUAGGCAGCAAGGUCUGACUGGGAAUUCCUACAGGUUGUUGCAUGGGGACUUUAGAGAGAUGUCGAGAAUGAUUAACGAAGCAAAUUCCAGACCCAUGAGCUUCUCUGAUGAUAUUGUGCAGCGAGUUCUACCAUUUCACGAUCAUUCCAUCCAGAAAUAUGGUAUGAAAAUGAGCUACUCUUUAUCAUUGCAGUAAAAUAUAUUUAAUUGUGGAAUUUUCCCCAAAAGAUUGUUGGUUUUCUGGUCUUUUUUUUUUUAUUAGUUAUUUUUCCUGUCCUUUUUUUUCUUCCCUAAGAAGUUAUAGUCCAAUGGAAUUUCAAUGGUACUUCAAAUUUCCCUUUUCUAUAUUGGAGUGCAAUUUUUAAGAUUUGUUUGAUUAACAAGAAUAAAAUAAUCCAAAUUUGUAAAAUUAUUCUAAUGAUAAAAAAAAGACUCAUUUUUUGAUAAAAAAAAAAUUACUUACGGCUUUUCUUUUCAACCUAAAAAAUGACUUUUUUUUUAUAAAAAUAUCCUUAAUGUUUUUCUUAUAAAAAUAAAUUUUAAAAAAUAAAAUAAAAUAAAAAUAUCAAAAUAUUAAGAGAUGCUUAUAUAAAAAAUGAACUAAUUUUUAAGUUGAAAUUCGAGAGGUGUUAGAUUUACAAAUUUAAUAUCAUUUCAUCCUUUUCAAUUGUGUAAUCCAAUUGUAGGUAUAUAUAGAUGUCAACUUUGAUAAAGAGCUUUAUUUACUUUGUAAAUUGCUCAAUCAUUGGGAAUUUGUGAAUUGUAUUUAAAUUUUCGUGUUAAUUGUUUCUUAUCUUUUCAAAUUUUGCAUGAACUCGUGACUCUUCAUUAUUAAUCACAUCAGUAUAAUUUUCUUUAGAUAUUUGAGCUUCUCCAAUUAGAGAGCCUUGCAUUGGCCUCCUUGACUACCCAGGUCCUUUAGAUCCUUUCUCACACUUAUCCAACAAUGGGCAUUAAAAAUGUAGCUUGUUAAUAUGGUUCAUUAACACUUAUGCAAUAACACUUAUCAAACUGUUAUUGCAUUUAAGAACUGUAAGAUGUUUCAUUUAUUUUGUUAAUAUGGUUCUCAACUAAUUUUUGUUUUCCUUUAAGUAGUUUGUCUUCCAAUUUUUGGCUUUCUAGUUUAAGAGCUUUCUUUUUGUUCAAAUUAAAGAAUGUAGCUGUGUCUUCAAAACAAAAAUCAACUUCAAGUAUCCCCUUUUCUUUUAUUGGCAGAACAUCUUAGCAAGAUGCAUGGUGAAAUACUACUGCAAAAUAUUUGUAGACUUAAUGGUCAAUUAAUGUCUGGAUGGUUUCAUCUUUGGAACACCAUGGAUAUUCCGAGAAAUUGAACAAGUACAAAGUCAUGGAUGAAAAUGCAUUAGUUGUUUCCUGUAUUUCAUUGAUCUUCAUUUACUUGGCUUACUUCCAAGCAGGUUUUUUCCAACAAAGACAAACAGGAGAAUGAGGCAAAUUAGCAGUGAAGUCAAUGCAUUGUUGAAGGGUAUCAUUGAGAAAAGAGAGAAGGCAAUGAAAGCUGGCGAAACUGCUAAUGAUGAUUUAUUAGGUCUACUAAUGGAAUCCAACUACAGAGAAAUGCAAGAAAAUGAUGAGAGGAAGAAUGUUGGAAUGAGCAUCAAAGAUGUCAUUGAGGAGUGUAAGCUAUUCUACCUUGCUGGCCAAGAGACUACCUCGGUUUUACUUCUGUGGACAAUGGUUCUAUUAAGCAAACAUUCAAACUGGCAAGCUUGCGCAAGGGAAGAGGUUUUACGGGUUUUUGGUAAUAAAAAACCAGAUGGCGAUGACUUAAAUCACCUCAAAAUUGUGAGUAUCAAUCCAAUCUAUAUUCAAUUUAGUAACUCUCCUUGAAAAUAAUGUACUCCUUUUUUUGUCAAUCUUGAGGCAAAAUAUGUUUUGUUUCUGUAUCUUUUUUGCUUUAAUUGAAAGCUAUAUGCAAAUACUUGGUACCCCAACUGGAAUUUUUCUUUCCUUAUCUGCUUGCACACUGCAUCAGCACUGGUGAAAAAGAGGUCGAUUUUACUGUAGAAGAAGGGGCGGCCUAUUCUUUUCUUUGCGGGAAUUUUUUAUUUGCUUGUUAGGUUGUUUUAAGUGAUGAAAACUUUGUGCAAAUACUUGGUAUCAAUCAUUUACAAGACUGAAGAGGAUAUUGAUGUUUCCUCUUGCCAAGCGUUUUUUCUUGAAAUUUAAACUCUGGGCUAUAAUAAAUUUUCAGGGGGUUCUUAGUUUGUAUUGACCAGUUACUGUAUGGUUCUAUUUGUACAUGAAAGUAUAUAUUAUGCAAAAAUUUAAACGAUCUCUUUCAUAACUAUAUUCGAAAAAUUCUUUCAUAGUUUGAUGUAUGCUUCUUAGUGAUAUAGUGUAUUUCAAUAAUGAAUUUUCAUGAUAAAAAUAUUUUCUAUAUUGCAGGUUACAAUGAUUUUUCAUGAGGUCCUUAGGUUAUAUCCACCAGCACCCAUGCUCACACGAGCUGUUUUUGCCGACAGCCAAGUGGGAGGAUUGUAUUUACCAGAUGGAGUGCAGAUCGCUUUGCCAAUCCUCCUAAUUCACCACGAUGAUAAAAUUUGGGGAGACGAUGCAAAGGAAUUCAACCCGGGGAGAUUUUCAGAAGGAGUUUCAAAGGCAGCAAAGAGCCAAGUUUCAUUUUUUCCAUUUGGUUAUGGUCCUCGGAUAUGCGUUGGACAAAAUUUUGCAAUGAUGGAAGCAAAAAUGGCUUUGGCAAUGAUCUUACAACGUUUCUCAUUUGAACUUUCCCCAUCCUAUGCUCAUGCACCUAUUAGUCUUACAACUAUGCAACCCCAACAUGGUGCACACCUGAUUUUACAUGGACUUUAGUGUCAGAAUUCCUGGUAUCAGCAGAUGUUAAUUAGCACGAUCUUUAAACCUAGCUAGUGUCGAAUUUAAAUUCUCCUCUACAAAUCCAAUGUAUUAAUAAAAUUAUCUUUUUGUAUGUCACUGUGGGUUUGAUUAUUGAUAUCAAUUAAAUGCUUUGUUUA
rnacentral:lncRNA from 1 species